GGGUAGAUAAUGAGCUAGUGAAAAAAAUGUUGUUGAUGACAUUUUGCUUCUCUUAUGUGCUUUGCCAAUGACACCAUUCAUAAUAAGUCUUUAGAAAGACAGGGGCUUGAUAACAUGCUUCCUUUCUUGCAUAUUUUGGAAGAUGUCUAGUUUAAGGUUAAACACAUAGAAGAUGAGAAUUAUGGGUAUUUUAAUCCAGGACUUGAAUUGGUUCUCAAUUAUCCCUCUAUAGCCUAGUGUGUUGCCAGGGUUGGCCCUUGGCAUGUUUAGAGGUCCCCAUGGUGGCAAUCCACAUUUUCCAGCCUUUUAGAAUUUGGUUGAAUCAAAUUCUAAUCUCUCUUACUUUGCUUUAAUAUUUUAAGCAUGAUAGAUGCACUACUACUCCAUAUACUCUUUUGGAGCACCAUGUCUAACAACAAUGCUUCUGUGAACACCAUGCCUAGAUUAAUCUCCACACUCCACAUUACUCCAUCAACUCAACAGUAUUUUAAGAUUGCAUCCUCAAUCCAAGACAUUAAAUUGUUAAGCCACAAAUCCCAUCUCAAAAUGAAUAAUAAUUGACUUCAAAAAUAACCCAAGCUAUCUUGAGUAAAACAAGCCAUGCUUCUAAUUCAACAUUUACAACAGGAAGGGACCCUAAAUACCAAAAUUAACCAACUUUUCCAUUAUUUUCCCUAAAUCAACAUAUUUUCAUAAAAGGGUAUGCUAAAAAUCACCUAAAUAAUCAAAACCAAGUAAAAAAAAAAAAUCAAUCACAAAAGAAAUUUACAAGAAGGGUUACCCUACAAAUCCCCUAAGCAUCAAACCAACCAGCUCUAUAAUNNNNNNNNNNNNNNNNNNNNNNNNNNNNNNNNNNNNNNNNNNNNNNNCAAUUAAACAACACAAAUCAGCCUACAACAUCAACACCAACAACAAAUUUACUCAAACAGGUAUGGAAAACUUACCUCAAAGACAUCAAGAAGGCGAAUGAUGUUGGGGUAAUUGACAGAAGACAAGAAAUUAAGCUCACAAUCUAAGCAGUUCCUCAAAUUCUUGUUGAGUUUAGAGAGAUAAACUUGCUUCACUGCCACUUCCCCCCCCUGUUAUUUUGUUCUCUGCUUUCCAUACUGUGGAAAAAGAGCUCUCAUCCAGUUUUGAUUUCAGGAUGUAGUUUCCGAUUGUAUGAGAUUCUGAGAGAUUCUUUGUUGCUUCAAGAUCCAUUUAUGUUGGUUUUGGAUGGUUCGACAAAGAGUACUGAAAACGUUCUAGUAAUAUUUUGCCUUGGAUUUUUGUUCUUCUGUUUUUGUCAUGAUGUCUGUUUGUGAACGUGGCAGGUAAAGAGAUGAGAGUCUAGAUUUUCUUUAUCGAUAAAUUAUAUUUUAGGCACUGUAGCUCGUGCUAUACAGAUUAUAUUUUUGAAAUAACGUAUUUUUUAAUAAAAAAAUAAUUAUAAAUUAUGAGAAUAAUAUUUUCUAAAAAUAAAGUAAUAAGAGUUCAUUGCGUGAAAUAACAUAUUAAAAUCUCAUUUUAAUUAAGGAAAUAAUCACAGUUUGAUUAAAGCACAAAAAAAAUAUAUUUCUUCUUCAUAUUCUUUCUUGGCCAAAAACUCUCUCUCUCUUUUAUAUGUUAGCUUUCAAUCUUAAAAAUAAAUCAAAGUAGCUUUUUAUACAUACUCAUUUAUAAUACUUAAAGGACUUUAAAUAUGAGCUAUGAACUAAAAGAAGAGUGAAUAAAGCCAAUAAUUCUCCCCCUUCCAGCUUAUUUAGAGAGCUUUACCAAACCUGCUUGUCUUUUAUAAAUCUCAAUUUUUUUAAAAUUAAAAACUUGGUUAUCAUAUUUGAUAUAUUUUUAUAAUUACAAUUUUUUUCAAUAACAAAGGAUUUCAUUUUUAUAAAAUCUCGAAUUCAUUAACAUUUAACUUUAAUGUAUUUUGAUUAAAAAUAAAAAAUAAAAUAUAUGUGGAGAUGAAUUGCUUUCUAACUAAUCGCUUCGCACCACAAAAUUCUAUUGGUUCCAAUGUCUUGAAACUUGCUUUAAUCCAUACAAAUUUUUUUCCACUUAAAAACCAAUUUCCUUUUGUUUUUCACUUUAAACCCUUCAGAUUGUUUUAUUUUAUAUAAUUCUUCUAAUCAAAGUUAUCAUGAAGUUGUUCAACUUCAAGAUUCAAACUAAUAAUUAAAUCAAGCAUAACUGCAUUGAAAACAUUUUGAUUAUGAGUGAAAAGAUUUCCUUUAAAUAAAAAAAAAAUUUAAUCAAAAUCUUUUAUAAAUAAUCUUAUAUUGUAUCUUGGUUAUGAGAAAUUUUCUUUAAUUUUUAACAUAAUCAUCUAUUUGUUUUAGAAAAAAAAAAAAAAACCUUGUAAGAGGGUUUCAAUAAAUAUGAAAAACAAUAAUAACUCUAAAUUUUAAUUUAUUAUCAUUAAUAUUCUUCCCUUCUAUAAAGGAUGUGUUUAUAUAAAUAUCAAGAAAUUAAACCAUGGUAUUAAUUCUGAAUUAAAUAUAAAUUAAAAAUCCUGAUAAAAUAUUUUUAACAAUAACAAUAACAAUAUCAACAACAACAAUAAAAUUCUUAAAAUCCACCAAAAUAAUAAUAUGAUUUUAAACGUAAGAAAUUACGAACCAACAAGUAAACUUUCCUUUUUCCUACACAACUUCAUAUAAUUUGUCAAACGAUAUGCUAAUGAUGCUGGAGUUAUGAUUAACAUUGGACCUCUGAAAGCUCUCUGCAAGCUGUUACAGGAAAUAUUUAUUUGAUUUCAUAGACAAAUGAAUCUUUACAGUGGUCUAUAUGAAUGGUACAAUGGCAAAGCUAGGCUGCGUCUUUUGCCAUUCUGACGAGACAUGGUGUAUAGUUUUUCUAUUUUCAUACAAGUAAAAUAUCACAAAAACAAAUUGAAAUGACAAAACUUUUCAUAAAUCACCACCAUUAAUGUUCUCUCAUCUAAUAAACCAUUUAACAUAAAAUUUGAUCGUUUUAGUUAUUAAAAUAGUGACAAACAAAAACUUUUUCUCUCUUAAUUUUUUUCCAUCAGCUUUCUCUCUUGUCUCCAACUUUCUCUAUAGUUUGCAAAACCUAAAAUUGAAAAAUAAAUAAAAUUAAUUUGUGAAUCAAAAUAAGAAUUGAUGUGCACAUUUGAGAUUUACCUUCCUUUUCUUUCAUGUUUUACAUAUCAAUCCUUUAUUUUUUUAAUUUAAUAUUUGUACUACAGUUCUAAACUUAAUUUCAUCUAAUUAAGCCAUAAAAAAAUUUAAUAGAAUAAAAAAUAAAAAAUUUAAAAAAGAGAAAAAGGACCAGAAGGGGAAUAUCUCCUUCGCUUUUCAUAUGAACAGUGAAGGAGCUAGGAAACCUAGUUGUUUUAAUUAUUAUUUUUUUAAUAAUUAUUUAACCACAAUAAUGAAUCAAAACACCAAUAUAAGCCUAUCUGCAUCUGCUUUCUGCCCAGCGGCAGCGUUACUCUCUUACAAUUACAAGCCCAACAAAAGCAUAGCCAUAUAUUACAGGACUAGCCUAAAUACCUGAAGUCCAUCCCAAGUGCUGUGUAACAAUUGUGCCUUCGGUCCAAGAAUGGAGCCCAUGUCUUUUUCUUUUUUUUUUUAUUAUUUUUAUGAUAAGGAUAUCUUUGGAUUAACUUGCUUGUUAAUCAAUACUAAAUCUUUUUUUUAGUGAUUUUAAGACACAUUCUCUACAUUUAUAUUAAAAAAACUAUAAAAUCUUAACUCAAAAAAUAAAAUAUUUUUUUGAUCAUCAACCCAAUCUAUAGGGCUGAGCCCAUAAAUUAGUGAUUAUGAAGAGCGACGUGAACAAAUAUGAGAAAAUGCAUAGUAUAUAAAUAAUAACAAAAAUUUAAAUUGUGAAAUAAUUAUAAUUAUUUUGUUGUAUUUUUUGAAAAUAUGGAAACUAUGAGAGGAUGUUUGGAAAGGUGCAAUAAGCGGAAUAAUUAAGAAGAUGACCAUUAGAGAAAGAGGAGUUUAUAUUGGCUAAGUAAAAAAUAAACUUGUUAAACUUAUGCAUCGUAUAUUUAUAAAUUCAUACCAUAUAUGUUAACAUAUUUAAAUAAGAAUGUAUGCAUAAAUAUUUAAAUAUUUCCUAAAAUAAUAACCAAUUAAUUUAUGUAAAACUAAGAUUUCGAUAGAUCCCUAAAUAUUCUCCCAAAAAAAGACUUAACUAUUAAUAUAUUUUUUUUCUUAUAUCAUGCCUACAUAUUAAAUAAUUCGCAUCUCAUCAUAUUUUUCAUAUAUUUUGUAUGAAGAUCUUGUAACCAAAUAUUUUAUAUUCAUAGAAUUAAUUAAUGGUAUCUACUCAUUCAAUGCAUGAAAUUUUCAAAAAUUAAAAUCGUUUCUCAAGGAAAAAGUAGUUACUAUACGCAUGAUAUGAAGAUUUUGUGUCCAAAAAUUCUUCCCAGCUGAUAGAUUAUAAUAUUCAUUUAAUACAUGAGUUAUCGAUCGGAAACUGAUUUGGGAAUAAAAAUCUUGUGAGAUUAGAAACUAUCAUUACUCCAUUAAAUCUUUUUAUAUUUCAAAAUGCAUUAAAGAUUCUAGCCGUAACAUUGAUAGCAUAUUAUAAAUAUCUGCAUGCAUGAUGUUCCUUGUCCAUUCACAACUCAGAAAAAAAUGGCUAGAUCAGAUAUGAGAAAGAUAAUAAGACUUGUAGCUAUUGUUUUGACAGCAUAUAUCGCGUCAAAUGGAUGUGUAGUGAAUGGAAGAUCCAUACACAGUGAAGUCGUAGAGCUGGAGAAGGAACUUGCGGCAAUAAACAAGCCAAGCAUAAAAACUAUUGAGGUGAGGUUAUGCUUUUAUGUUUUUAGGGUUUUUAUUUCAUUGAAAAACUUCAAAAAAGAUUAUAUUUUUCUUUUUUCCUAUAAAUUAUUACAUUGUUUUGAUUUUUUGGUUAUCACAGACAGAGUAUGGAGACAUAUAUGACUGUGUGGACAUAAACAAACAACCUGCUUUUGACCAUCCACUGCUUAAGGAUCACAAAGCCAAGGUUUAUUGCCUAUGUUUUGAUCUUAUGAACCUAAGAAUAGAAGUUUUGAGUAUUUUAUGUGUGCCUUAAGAUGAUUUUGCUACAAGUUUUGAGUAAAUAAUAUUGUUGACGUUUCCUUUUCCUUCCCACCUUUGUGAGAAAAGACGAGGCCUAGCUUAGCUUUGGAAAAGAUUUUAAGAGCUUCAAGGAAGGAUGCCUCUCUAUUGGAGACUAACCCUGCAAAAAUAGGGUUGGAAGAAGGGUGCCCUGCAGGAUCUGUCCCUCUACGAAGGGCCACAAAGGAAGAUUUGAGAAGGGCUAAAUCUAGUUUCAAAAGACUAUCGAGUUUUGAACCAAGUAACCCUGGUCAAGGUUAUGAUGUAAGUAAUAAAUAACCUCCACUAUAAAUUCUCAUAUAUAUUUUUUGUAUUAAUACUUCAUUUGAUUUAUAUGGUCCAUGUAUUAUUACUUAAUCACUGUUUCGUACUCAACAAAAGUAAAAAAAAAACAAAAUAACGUAUUUCUGAGAUUAACGUUUGGUAAUUAAAACACAAAGUUCAAAAGAAAUUGGAUUUAAUUUCAUCUUACCAAUUCCUCGUAUUAAAAUUCUAAAUAAAAUAGCCUUAUCCCAUGAAAUUUUUUCUCUAUUUAGUUUGCAGGAAUUGUUACAACACCACCAGCCAAUGUAUUAUUUAAGGGGAUUUCAGCACGCAUUAGCGUAUACCAGCCUCCUGUUAGUGGUCAGCAAUCAAGUACAGCUCUGAUUCAGCUUCAAACUCAGACUGAAACAAAAGUGGGCAGUAUUCAAGUUGGAUGGACAGUAUAUUUCUAAACUACAUUAUUAAUUUCUUAAUUAUCAAAGAAAUAUUAUUCUUUAAUUAAUUAUAGUUUUCUCUAUGUUUUUUUCCUUAUCCAAUAUUAUAUGAUUCUUGUUACCUUCUGCAGAUUGAUCCAGAAUUGUAUGAUGACAGCAGGGCUAGAUUGUUCACCAAAUGGUGUGUAAGAACAUAGUUUCCUUGUUUCUUGGAUACAUACGUUGUAAGAGAAAUGUAAUGGAUUUUGAACAAAUUUUCUUUCUUCCACAGGAAGAACAUGAUGGAACUGUAGACUGUUGUUACAACACACUUUGUUCAGGAUUUGUUGUAACAAAUCCAAACAUUCCUAUUGAUACAGCUUUUAACGAUGUCUCUAUUGCUCAACGAUCCCAAGUUUUCCAGUGGAUGAUGGUAACUCUGGUAUGAUUUCCUCACUUUCUGGUAUUUUUCUCAGUAGAAGGUUUAAUGGAUUUUGGACUACAGAAAGGGAACACUCAGGCAACCCUUCUUAAUAUUUGAAAGUGAAUCAAAGGGCAACCCUUUUUCACCUGUGUAUCUAGCCCUAGGAAUCACUGUUUAUCUUGAUAGCGCCCAGAAAUGUAUCUGAAAUAUUAAAAUAAAAAUAAAAUUGGCAAUCCUUCUCCUCUAUUGAUAUCAUGAGAAAGUUGGUGGUAUUUGUUGAAAAAACAACAUAAAACCAUUUUUUGAAAACUCAAAGAUUAAGCAGUAAAGUUUAUCGCCUAUUUGACCUUCUUCUUUUUGUUAUAAUCUUGGCAUGCAGGAUCCAUUAAGCCAAGACUGGUGGCUGUCAAUGCAGGAUGAUAACAUUCGAAUAGGUUACUGGCCGAGAGAAUUGUUCUCAUUCUCCGGAUUUAGUGUUGGAGGUUACAACGCAACAUGGGGAGGUCUGGUCCAUACCGGAACUGAUGUUUCACCCGCCAUGGGAAGUGGUAUUUUUGAAGAUGGGAACUACAAUUCAACUUGCAACAUGGUAAAGGUUCAAGUCAACAUAGGAAAUACAUUCGUGUCUCCUUAUGACAAUCCUGUGCAAGUUCUACAAUCUAGAUGUUUCAAAGCUAGUAAGCAGAAUAUGUUAAAUAAUAUUUAUGUUGUCUUAUUUAUUAAGGGUAGAAUAGUACUUUCAGUUUAACCUAUAUAUACUUUAUUUGUAAUUAGGUUAAGACUAUGCAUUCAUAAUAUACAGUUUAUUCAGAAUUCUAGCCUCCUUUUGUGUUUGAUCUCAAUUAGUUUAACAUGGUAUCAGAGCUGGUUUUAUGGAACGAAGUUUAAUCCCAAAUACAGCUUCGCGGAUCCAACUUAGGUAUUUCGAUAGUUCUACAAUUUUUUUUUGGAGUGAUAUUUUGUCUUCCGCUUCUGCAAAAUUAGGUAUUUCGAUAGUCUCUGCAAUUAUUUUGGUAUUUCGACAGUUUCUGUAAUUAUUUUGGUAUUUCGUCUUCCCUUCAGCUUCUGCAAUUUGGUAUAUGCGUUCAGUUUUUGCAAAUUUGUUUUGUGUUUUGGGAGUAAUCGUAUAAUUUCGAGAAGAUAUUUGUUUAGUUUCUGCAAUUGAGUAUUUUGUCUUCCGCUGCGUUUGCAUUCUGGUUAUCUGUGAUUGUUGAAUAUGGCUACUGAAAGAGAUGAUUCGCUUCAGUCUGUGAGUGUGAGGUUGGAUGGGAAGAACUAUUCAUAUUGGAGUUAUGUAAUGAGAAAUUUCCUUAAGGGUAAGAAGAUGUGGGGGUAUGUUAGUGGAACUUAUGUGAUACCUAAGAAUAUUGAGGAGGGGGAUGCUGGUUUGAUAGAUACAUGGGAAGCAAAUAAUGCAAAGAUCAUUACUUGGAUCAACAAUUCUGUUGAGCAUUCAAUAGGUACGCAGUUGGCGAAAUAUGAGACAACAAAAGAGGUUUGGGAUCAUCUGCAAAGGUUAUUCACACAAUCAAAUUUUGCAAAACAGUAUCAAUUAGAGAAUGACAUACGAGCUCUUCAUCAGAAGAAUAUGAGUAUUCAAGAGUUUUAUUCUGCUAUGACAGAUCUUUGGGAUCAAUUGGCUCUUACAGAAUCGACAGAAUUAAAGGCAUGUGGUGCCUAUAUUGAGCGUAGAGAGCAGCAAAGAUUGGUACAGUUUUUAACAGCACUUCGCAGUGAUUUCGAAGGACUUAGAGGUUCAAUUCUGCAUCGUUCUCCACUGCCUUCUGUUGACUCUGUUGUCAGUGAGUUAUUGGCUGAAGAAAUACGUUUUCAGUCUUAUUCUGAAAAAGGAAUUCUUUCUGCUUCAAAUCCUUCUGUACUAGCAGUACCUUCUAGGUCAUUCUCUAAUCAUCAGAAUAAGUCUCACACAAGGGUUGGCUUCGAUGAGUGCAGCUUCUGUAAGCAGAAAGGUCAUUGGAAGGCUCAGUGUCCUAAGUUGAGACAUCAGAAUCAAGCUUGGAAGCCUGGCAAUCAGUCACAAUCUAAUGCUCAUAGACCACCUCAGGGUUAUAAACCACAACACCACAAUACUGCAGCAGUAGCUUCCUCGAGUUCUAUUACCGAUCCUAAUAUUUUGGCUGAGCAAUUUCAGAAGUUUCUCUCCUUGCAGCCACAAGCAAUGUCCGCUUCUUCUUCCAUAGGUCAGUUGCCUCAUAGUUCCUCAGGUAUGUCACAUUCUGAAUGGGUCUUGGAUUCUGGUGCUUCUCAUCAUAUGUCUCCAGAUUCCUCAUCUUUUACCUCUGUAUCCCCUUUGUCCUCCAUUCCUGUUAUGACUGCUGAUGGCACUCAAAUGCCCUUAGCAGGUGUUGGUUCUGUUGUCACACCUCACAUGUCUCUCCCUAAUGUUUAUCUUAUUCCACAACUCAAAUUGAAUCUUGCGUCUGUUGGUCAAAUAUGUGAUUCUGGUGAUUAUUUAGUCAUGUUUUCUGGUUCCUUUUGUUGUAUACAGGAUCUGCAGUCUCAGAAGCUGAUUGGGACAGGCCGUAGGGAGAAUGGACUAUAUAUUUUGGAUGAGUUAAAAGUGCCAGUUGCUGCUGCUGCCGCUGCUACUACUACAGUUGAUUUGUCUUCCUUUCGUUUGAGUAUUUCAUCUUCUAGUUUUUAUUUAUGGCAUUCCCGUCUAGGUCAUGUUUCGUCUUCUCGUUUGAGAUUUUUGGCAUCCACAGGAGCUUUAGGAAAUUUGAAAACUUGUGACAUUUCUGAUUGUAGUGGAUGUAAAUUGGCAAAAUUUUCCGCCUUACCUUUUAAUCGAAGUAUUUCUGUUUCUUCUUCACCAUUUGAUUUGAUUCAUUCUGAUGUAUGGGGACCUUCUCCUGUUGCCACAAAAGGAGGGUCUCGAUAUUAUGUCUCUUUUAUUGAUGAUCAUACUCGUUAUUGUUGGGUUUAUUUAAUGAAACAUCGUUCUGAAUUCUUUGAGAUAUAUGCAGCUUUUCGAGCUCUUAUCAAAACUCAAUAUUCUACUGUGAUCAAAUGCUUUAGGUGUGAUUUAGGUGGGGAAUACACUUCUAAUAAAUUUUGCCAAUUGCUUGCCCUAGAUGGAACCAUCCACCAAACUUCAUGUACAGAUACUCCUGAGCAAAAUGGUGUUGCUGAAAGAAAAAAAAACAUAGGCACAUUGUCGAAACUGCUCGUUCUCUCUUGUUGUCUGCUUUUGUUCCUAGUGAGUUUUGGGGAGAAGCUGUUCUUACUGCUGUAAGCUUGAUUAAUACAAUUCCAUCUUCUCAUAGUUCGGGUCUAUCUCCUUUUGAAAAGUUAUAUGGGUAUGUCCCUGAUUAUUCCUCAUUUAGAGUCUUUGGUUGUACUUGUUUCGUUCUUCGUCCUCAUGUAGAACGAAGUAAGCUAUCCUCUCGAUCCGCUAUUUGUGUCUUUUGGGCUAUGGUGAAGGUAAAAAGGGUUAUCGUUGUUUUGAUCCAAUAACUCAGAAACUUUAUGUGUCUCGUCAUGUUGUCUUCCUUGAGCAUAUACCUUUCUUUUCUAUUCCAUCCACUACUCAUAACCUGACUAAAUCUGAUCUUAUUAGUAUAGAUCCAUUUUCUGAGGAUUCUGGUAAUGAUAGCUCUCCCCAUGUUCGAUCAAUUUGUACUCAUAACUCUGCAGGUACUGGUACUUUACUCUCUGGCACACCUGAAGCUCCAUUCUCAUCUACAGCCCCUCAAGCUUCAUCUGAGAUUGUGGAUCCACCUCCACGUCAGUCCAUCCGUAUUCGUAAGUCCACAAAACUACCAGAUUUUGCUUAUUCUUGUUAUUCUUCAUCAUUUACUUCCUUUUUAGCCUCUAUUCAUUGUCUUGUUGAGCCCUCUUCCUAUAAAGAGGCAAUUCUUGAUCCGCUUUGGCAGCAAGCUAUGGAUGAGGAACUUUCUGCAUUGCAUAAGACAGAUACUUGGGAUCUGGUUCCUCUACCUCCUGGUAAGAGUGUUGUUGGUUGUCGUUGGGUGUAUAAGAUCAAGACUAAUUCUGAUGGGUCUAUUGAGCGAUAUAAAGCUAGGUUGGUUGCCAAAGGAUACUCUCAACAGUAUGGUAUGGACUAUGAGGAGACAUUUGCUCCGGUUGCAAAAAUGACUACUAUUCGUACUCUUAUUGCCGUAGCUUCGAUUCGUCAAUGGCAUAUUUCUCAACUUGAUGUUAAAAAUGCCUUCUUGAAUGGAGAUCUUCAAGAAGAAGUUUAUAUGGCACCCCCUCCUGGUAUUUCACAUGACUCUGGAUAUGUUUGUAAGCUUAAGAAAGCAUUAUAUGGUCUCAAACAAGCACCCCGUGCUUGGUUUGAGAAAUUCUCUAUUGUGAUCUCGUCACUUGGCUUUGUUUCUAGCAGUCAUGAUUCUGCUCUUUUUAUUAAGUGCACUGAUGCAGGUCGUAUCAUUCUGUCUUUAUAUGUUGAUGACAUGAUUAUUACUGGUGAUGACAUUGAUGGUAUUUCAGUUUUGAAGACAGAGUUGGCUAGACGAUUUGAGAUGAAGGAUUUGGGUUAUCUUCGAUAUUUCCUGGGUAUUGAGGUAGCAUACUCACCUAGAGGUUACCUUCUUUCUCAGUCGAAAUAUGUUGCAGAUAUUCUUGAGCGGGCUAGACUUACUGAUAACAAGACUGUGGAUACUCCUAUUGAGGUUAACGCAAGGUACUCUUCUUCUGAUGGUUUACCUUUGAUAGAUCCUACUUUAUACCGCACUAUUGUUGGGAGUUUGGUAUAUCUCACCAUUACUCGUCCAGAUAUUGCAUAUGUUGUUCAUGUUGUUAGUCAGUUUGUUGCUUCUCCUACUACUGUUCAUUGGGCAGCUGUUCUUCGUAUUUUGCGAUAUCUUCGGGGUACAGUUUUUCAAAGUCUUUUACUUUCAUCCACCUCUUCCUUGGAGUUGCGUGCAUACUCUGAUGCUGAUCAUGGUAGUGAUCCCACAGAUCGCAAGUCUGUUACCGGGUUUUGUAUCUUUUUAGGUGAUUCUCUUAUUUCUUGGAAGAGCAAGAAACAAUCUAUUGUUUCUCAAUCAUCCACCGAAGCAGAAUAUCGUGCCAUGGCAUCUACUACCAAAGAGAUUAUUUGGUUACGUUGGUUACUUGCUGAUAUGGGAGUUUCCUUUUCCCAUCCUACUCCUAUGUAUUGUGACAACCAGAGUUCUAUUCAGAUUGCUCACAACUCGGUUUUUCAUGAGCGGACUAAGCACAUUGAAAUCGAUUGUCAUCUUACUCGUCAUCAUCUCAAGCAUUGAACCAUUACUUUGCCUUUUGUUCCUUCUUCAUUGCAGAUUGCAGAUUUCUUUACCAAGGCGCAUUCCAUAUCUCGUUUUCGUUUUCUAGUUGGCAAACUCUCGAUGCUUGUAGCUGCCGCAUCGUGAGUUUGAGGGGAGAUGUUAAAUAAUAUUUAUGUUGUCUUAUUUAUUAAGGGUAGAAUAGUACUUUCAGUUUAACCUAUAUAUACUUUAUUUGUAAUUAGGUUAAGACUAUGCAUUCAUAUUAUACAGUUUAUUCAGAAUUCUAGCCUCCUUUUGUGUUUGAUCUCAAUUAGUUUAACAGAAUACACAUCCCGAUUACCGAUUUCAGUUUGGAGGACCCGGUGGUUUGCCUAAUGCUUGUGUAGCUUGAGAGUAUGAACUGGAUAAGUGGAAAACAUGUUCUUAGUUUUAUGAACACGCAAUGCUUGUUAAUGGUUAAGAGUUGCUUAAUCAGUUCUAGCAAGCCUUUCUCCUCCUUUUGAGUUCUAUGUUUUUCCACUUGUUAAAUCAAUUGAAAACAAAGGAAACUGAAAAUCUUCAAAAGGGAUUUCAUAGACAUAGAAUUGUAAGAAAAAAACUCGAUAUCCCAUGUAAUAGUUCGAAAUGAAUCAUCAAUAUCAAUACCGAGGAGACAAAAUCCAAAUCUUGUCAUGGCAUUAAAGCGUUUUGUAAUAUCUUUUCCAUAAGGUGUAUGAUGUUUUCGAAAAAUAUUUUUUAAAUAAGAGGUAAAAACCAUAUCCUUUCUCUCGUUCAACGAAUUGAGUUCAGAAUCGAAUGUCUUAAUUAGUCUGUGCCCACAAUUAAAGCAGUCAAGAUAGAGGUUAGUCUAUCUUGGACAAUGGAAAAAAAGUCAACUGUUAUUUCAUUCAUUCUGAUUGCAAUAAUAUAGUGGGAAAAAAAGUCCAUUUUGUCUCAUCCAACUAAUUAUAUUAUUGUAGUAUACUUUUCAUACUGGACAUUAAUGGUAUUCAUCAUGCAAGGCUGACCGAAAGGUCUAUUUCGAAUAAGUAGUUGUGCUUGAAUUGAAAAUAAUAUUAGUAACAGUAAUGAUUAGUAAUUAGUUAUUAUACUUUUUUAAAAAAAUAUUAUAUAUUAAAUGGAUUAUGGUAUAAUUAAAACACACUAAUAUAUAUCAAUAAUAUAUAUAUUUUUGUACUUCAAAAUAACAAUAUUUAGUAAAUGUUGUUUUUUAAAAACAUGAGAAUGUAAAAAUAUGUAAUUUCAUUAAAAAAAAAUUAAAAUUGUGUUAUUCCACAAAAAAUUUAAAUUGCUGUACUAAUUUUUUUUAAAAUCCUUUAUUUAUCAUGUCCAAAUCCCAAAAAUGCAUGAUGACAGAACUACAAUAUUACAGUAGAUUCAACAAUCCUUUAUUCACUUAAUUUUUUUUUUGUUAUAAAUCAUAAGAUUGCAAUAUUAAAAUUUGAGAUUGAAGAAUGGUAAAAAUUUAUAACUUUCAAAGCCUAGCAGUGAAUUGAUGGUGGUGGUGAUGGUUGUUGUAACCCAUUUUUGGGUCCCCACAUAAAAAAUGAUAAAAUAUAAAAAAAUCAAAAAAUAUAUUAUAAAAAAAUAUAACAGUGAAAAAAUGUCAGAGCGCCCUAAAAAUGUUCAAAAAUUGAUUGAGGAUGUUCAAAAAUAUAAAAAUUAAUUUUUGACAGUAUAUCAUUGACUGAUGAGAGCCCCGAUGAUAAAGAAAAUUCAAUUUGAGGAAGACAAAUGCAAAAUUAGAAGUUUAUGGACUCAAUUAAAUUUUAUUGAAGGUUUAAUUGAAUUUAUGGAGUUUUUAAUUGCAAGAAAAUUUGAUUUUGGAGUUAAUUUGGGCUUUAAUUGGAAGAAAUUGAAGUUCUGGGGUCAAAUUAUAAUUUUUAGAAGUUAAUUUGGUCAAAUCAGGGGCUUAAUUGCAUAAAUAUUGAAGUUUGAUGGCCAAUUAGGGACUUAAUUGAAGAAAUCCGAGACCAAGGACUAAAUUGAAAAACGCGCGCAACUUAAAGGCCUGCUUUGAAUCACGCGUUUUGGCGCCUUUUCCUUUUAAAUGAAACGGCGCGUUUUGACCAAAACGGCGCCGUUUCAUGCACUGUUUAAAAAAAAAAAAAAAAGGAAAACCCAAAACGGUGCCGUUUUGAAACGGCACCUUCAUCUUCUUCCCUGCGCACGCAGAGAACAGGGGAGAAUAAUUUUUUUUUUUUCCACUUUUCGCCGAACUUCUUUACCGGAUUUGGCGCAAUAAGACGCCUACCAUUCGACGCCCACUUGCCUCCUUUUUAUCCAUUGAACGGAUAGUGGAGGGGCGGCCAACAGUGGCCGCCCCACCAUUCGCCCCCCCUGUUUUUGGCUAUAAAAACAGGGGAGGGAGAACAGAAGAAAAAAGAAAAAAAAAAGGAGACCGAGGGAGGGAAUAGAAGAAAAGAGAAGGGAGAGACAGAGAGAGGAAAGCAGGAGAGAAGGCAGAGAAGAGAAAGGAAGAAGCAGAGAAGAAAACAGAAAAAUACAGAGGAGAGAGAGAGAGAAGGAAAACCGCCCGGCCACCGCGAACCGCCAGCACCGCCACCACCUCCCCUGCUGCAUCAGCUGCUGCCAGGAUCAACACCGUUCCAGGUAACUUUCUCCACUGUCAUUUUUUUUGCUUCGGCUUCGGCUUCAUCUGCAUGCAAAACGUUUACGUUCUGCAGCAGAUGAAGAUUAAUUAGCUAGUUACUGUGCUGUGCACAGUAACUGGCUAAUUAAUUCACGGAGUAACCCGGUUACUAUGCACGCUAAUUAAUUCUCUGGUUACUGUGCACAAAGUAACCCGGUUACUAUGUGCACAGUAACCAGCCCAUGCAUUUGGGCCAUGUUCGGCCCAGCCCAUGUAAAAGGGCCAGGUUUGGCCCAACCCAUGCAAUUGGGCAUGAUCUGGCCCAUUAAAAAAAGAAAAAAUAUUAUUGUUUUAAAAAAAAUAUUUAUGAUGUUCCCAUUUUUUAUUUAUGUUAUUUUUAUUAAUAUCGGGUAGUAUUUUUAUGUCGUAAAAAUACAAAUCGGGUAUUAAAAUACUCGUUUUUUUUUUUGUCACAAACUUUCAAAAAUACAAAAAAAUUAAAAAAAAAAACAUUUUUGUGCAUACGGCCAAGUGUCUCAAAUCUAAAAUAUCAUAUCGUAUUUUUCAUAUGUCAAAAAACAAUAUUUUAGCAUGCAUUUUGGCUUUAAUAACCAGUUUAUUAAAGUCAAGAGAACAUUGGCCAAAAUCUCAAAAAAAACAACAAAAUAUUUUGUUUUGUUUGAUUUUAGUAUCAAGGAUUAUGAAUUUAUACAUAAAUCGUAUUCCUGAUAUUAAAAAGAUAUUUUCUUUUGACGGCUUCGAAUAGUUAGUUUUUUACCCGAUAAAGAUAAGGAUCUCCUUACAGGAGGACUUUUCUUAAACCGUAAACGAACCAACAAUUCAAAAACCACAACACGAUUUUAGAUUUUAUCAGACAUUAAAACAAUGCAGCCUACCUUAGGUAGGGCGUAGUUGGGGUGCUAAUACCUUCCCUUUACGCAACCAGUCUCCGUACCCGAUCUCUAAAGACCAGUUAAGGUUCCUAGUAACCAAAAUACUAGGUGGCGACUCCCAGUCCAUAUUUUCACUUGUAGAGACAAGAAUUCCAUGUCUCUCCUUUUUUUUUUUAAGGAAUAAAUAUUUCCAAUUUUUUCCUUGAGGGUGGACGAUCGCCGCGCCGCCGCACACGUGCGACAAUGGUAGUGAAAUAUAAAUAUAAACUGGCGGUGAGGAGAUUUCACGAAUGGGGAGGUGAAUGGUAGUUGUAGAGUGGAAAUGGUGACGAUGGACAUGAAGAUGGAGACUUCUAAACACACAAAGGAGAGAGAGAUAGGGAUUUUGGUGAGGCAACCUGUAGUAAUAAGAGUAGGCUGAAAUUUUUCUUUUUUUAUAUAAAAAAAUUAUUAUUCAAUUUCAAUCAAAGAAGUUAAUAUUCUAUUCAAGAAAAUAAAUUUAUAUAUCUCUUAAUCAAUUUAACUCAAUAGCUUAAAUUGUUACGUGAUGUUUUAAGAUAUAAUUUAUAUUAUUAUCUAACAUUUCCUUUUAAUUAAAAUCCUUUAAACUUAAAACCUGCACAAGUCUAUACUAUAUAUAUCUUGUGUUUAAUUUUUAUUAAAUAAAUAAAAAUAAUGAAAUUAAAACUUGUAAAUACUUUGUUAUCAAAACUUUAAUACAUAAACAGCAAUUUAAUUAAACACAUUUAUUUGAUACAUGUUAUUCAAAUAACUUCAUUUAUUUACUAUUUCGAAAGUUGACAAGAAGUCAUGAUUAUUCUCGGUUCAUACAUGGAUAGCAAUUUAAUUAAGCCCUUCUAAAUAUGAAAGGAAAGGCAGGACCAUCCAAGACCAGCAAGCGCUUUCCAUUCUCAUCAAUAACACCAGCAGAUCCACACCUUGGCCGAGGACAGUUUGUUGUCAGGCAAUUCGGGCACCAUCUCAAAGCAUAGACACCUUGUCCAUUGUUUUCAAUGUUGAAGUACCAGAGUGUAGACGACGGCCGUGGCUCCGUUCCAGUCACAACGUAUCUCCUCCUCGUUUCUGGAUUCUCCUCGCCGACCAUCCACGCAGUGGAUUGAACACAAGUUGAGGCUCCGGAGAAUGCAACGGUGAAGUCUCUGGACUCCCUUAUAAUUGUGUCUCCAACACGAGGAGUGAAAACAACCGGAAUACCUCGGGACACCAUAGGUGCAAGAGGUUCUUGACCAACAUAAAGUGGACACGAGCCAUUCCGAUCAACAAGGGUCAGACCACCUCCAACAUCGGUUACACCUGGAAGUACAUAGUAUUCUACCCCACUUCUAAGAGGUUGUCCAUCAGCAUCAAGCACAGGAGGCCAGGGUUGAGCCGCUGUUGAAAUGGUCAUAAGUAGCCAGAUGAAGCUCAAGCUUCCAAUCAGUCUCGACAUGGCUGCCUAGCUAGCUAUCUCACACAACAAAACAAAGUAAAUAGUAAAUACAGUGCUGUUUUUUUUUCUUUUUUCUUAAGAGUAUUCUAUGAGCAAUUUGGUAAGCCCUCUCUGCAUCUUGAGUCUCAGAUUUGCAAUCUAUUUAUAGCUGAGGGAGCCGACGUACCGUAUUUCUCUAUGACGGCACGGCAACAAAAAAGUCAGGCAGUAAUUAUCCGUUUUCAUAUGUGUUUAUAUUAUUAUCCAAUUCAUUGUUAAUUGCUUGUACCAUAAGGAUGUAAUUCAUAAAUAUUAGGCCUCAUUGUGGGCCGGGCGAUUGGGAUUGUGGUCGAAUUGUUGAACUGUUAUUUUUUAAAAGAAUUUAAUCUCACUUAAUUAAUAAAUUAAUGUAAAACUAUUAUUAAUUGUCAUAAAAAAAAACGGAGAACACAUAAAAUUGAAGUUAAAUCUUAUUCAAGAACGGGCAACUCAGAUGAGACUUGAAAUGGGCUUUAUUUUGAUUUGUUUUGGACAUUUAACUGGUUAAAUCUGAAUAAUUAACUUGGUAGAUUGAUUGUACAAAACCCCAAUGGGACUCAAUCAUGUUAGCUUCAAGAAUAUAUAUUUUUUAUUUUAUCUGAAAUUAAUUUGCUUUAAUUGAUCCAAUUAUAUAUAGCCCUAAACAAGGUCAAAUAUUAGCUGAAUUUUACAACUAUAUAUGAUUAUAUGUCCCUUGUAUAUCAAAUGAUCAAAUAUCGGAAGCUCUUUUUUGUGAACAAAAAAACAAAAAGAAGAACAGAAGAAAAAUUUGAAUCUCUCAGCUUAUCUCAGCCAGGAGUAUAAAAACCAUAAAAAUGGGCAGUUUGAAAUAUUGAUAUUUGUAUAGCUUUGAAUUGAAAAAUAAAGCAGUCAAGAGGUUAUCUUGAAAAAUGAAAAAAAAAAAAAAACCAUUCCGAUUGCAAUAAUGUACUGGAAAAAAAGUCUAUUUUGUUUUUGUCUCAUCCAACUAAUUAUAGAGACCCUCCAUGAACAGGGAUUGGAUUAUGUUGACUAAAUGUUUUGGUUGACCUCAUAGCACAACCAAUUAGACAACAACACGUGUAUAAAAGCAAUUUACAAAAAGGGUGUUUCAAUCAUCCCUCCGUCAUGGCCUGCAUCUUUUCUAAAAUUCAGCUUCAAAUUUUCUAAUUUUACUGCUAUGCAUUUACACGUAGAAGCAGGGAGGAUGCAGAGGUCUAUCAAGUCUGUUAGCAGAAAUCAAUUUGAGGAGGCAAAUGGACUUUUCGUUGCCGUGCCUUCAUUAACGUGCUAUCUUGUAGAAAUGUUGCAUAUAAAUAGACAACGAAGGGAAAACAUAUUACACAUAUAUUGUAUGUUUCUGUGUUACUCAGGCAGCCAUGUUGAGGUUGAUUACAAGCUUGAGCUCCAUUUGUCUACUGAUGGCCAUGUCGAGUAUGGCUCAGGGCCCUCCUGUGCUCGAUACAGAUGGUAACCCUCUUACAAGAGGUGUAGAAUACUAUGUCGAUCCUGCUAUAACUGAUGUAGCCGGUGGCUUAACUCUAGUGGCUCGCAAUGGAUCUUGUCCAUCUUAUGUUGGUCAGGUGCCAAUUGGACCUGGUUCUGUUGAAGGCCUUCCGGUCAUCUUCACCCCAUCAAAUCCAGGAGAUACAAUUAUCACUGAAACUACAGAGUUCACUGUUGCAUUUUCAGCUUCCUCGACAUGUGUUCAAAACACUACAUGGGGUAUAGGCGAGGAAGAUCCAGAGACGAGGAGAAGAUUUAUUGUGAUCGGUGGUGAGCCAACCGUCUUUGAUAUUGACAGUGAUCAAGCAAAACUUUGAUAAGAAAUCUAAAAAUAAUAUUAUUUUAAUAUAUUUUUUAUUAAAAAUUAUUUUUAAAAAACAUUCUACACCACAUUAAAAAACAAAAAAAUCAUGUAGCUUUUUAUAUUCUUCCAAACUUUUUAUCCAAAGGAAUUAAGUUCAGUUUGACAAAAUAUUUAGCUUUUGUUUGGUAUUAUGUUCCAAGCACACAUCGAGUAAAUUUAGAGAUAAUUUUGUUUAAAAUUAAUUUGCAUUCGUGUCACUGUAUUAUCCUUUGAUAAGAAACAUUUGCAAAUUUCUUUUCUUAGAGAGGAAAUCUGUUGCUUUUAUGGAUGUAAGUACGUUGAAGACAAAAUAAUAAAACAAAAGCUUUUCGAAAGCCAAGUUUACCUUAUUUUUUCUUGUAUAAUCUGCAAAUUCACCUUGUUCUGUGCAUCCAACAGGAAACGACCAUGGCAAGGGCUCUGAAAAUAAGAACAAAAGACAAUGGCAAGGUGCCUGUUUCUUGCCAGGCAUGGCUGUAUCUGUUAGUGUUGCUCAACCAUGGAACCGUUGAUACUUGAUCAAAAUGGAAUUUCAGAUCAGACGAAUGUCAGGGAGAACGCGAAAAACCAUUCGAAUUAUCAUCAAUCUAGCUCAUGCGUAGCACUGCCACUGUCAACAACAACAUGAGCAGUACGAAUAACAACUCUUUUCCUUAAACCUCACUCUUCCAACCUCUACUUGGCCUGCAAACAUGGUUGCUCAACCAUGCUACCCACAGUUCCGAUCAAAAACAAAAACUCUUAGAAACUUGUCCUCCAAAUCAAUGACAAACUAAAUUCCAAUCUGCUCCCACCACUCCCAAUGAGGGAAAAAACGCCUUAUUUAAGAGCCUCAAUCCCAAGCACUAGGCUGGACCAACCCACCAUAUGGAGGCACCACCGACAUCCACCAUGGACAGCCCUUCACAAAUCAGAGUCAUAGCUGUCACAGCAGGAAGUACCCACAGCUGGAUGCUUCCUUUUUACUAUUCAGAUAUUGAGAUAGAGAUGGAUGAAUUAGAGAUGCUUUCAUACGGUCCAAUCUUACAGAUAUCUAUCAUUUACUUUCAACGAUUAAUAAGUUAAGUGAGAAUGAUAUAUAUAACUUAUAUUAUUUUUUAAUAUAUCUUUUCAACUGAAAACAUUUUAAGUUUGAAAAUUUGGAUAAAAUGAAAUAAUAUAUAAAAAAUGAAAUUUGGAUAAAAUGAAAUUUAGCUUUAUAUUCACAUUUGAAUCCCCAACAUUACGUACUAAGUUAAUUAUCAAUAUUAUAUACCUUAUCUAGUAAGCUUGCCUAGCACAAAAUCUAGAUGGGUAAGGCAGGGUACACAUAUUAAUAUCAAUGAAAGAUAUUAAUGAAAAUUAAUGCAAAUUGUCUAGUUAUAUAUUAUUAGAAGAAAUUUCUUACCUUAAAGAAAAUGUUGUCAAAUCUUCUUUUAUCUAUCAUUUUAGUACUCAUUGCAUAAAUUCCAAGCCAUAAAGAAAACUCCAAAAGUAAAAUCAUUAUUGGUGUUUUAUUUUAAAUGUUACAAGGCUAAAACCAAUAAUAACAUGCUAAAAUAAUAUAUGAUAUUUGAAGAUAUAAUAUUAGAACAAUAUAAAACCUUUUUGAAAAACUAUAUAGCUUCAUAUCCAUAAGUAUUGUUCGUAAUGGUAUUUUUGUCCUUUCACCUAAAAAAACUUUACAUUGUCGUCUAAGGGCAAUGAAAUCUUUGACAUGGCUUAUUUAUCAUUUUUAAAUUGAUGAAGGACAAAUAAAUGUUUUUCUCAUCUUGAUUUCAUAGUUGAACGAUUGGAAGAAAAAAAAAAAUUUAACCUGGAUUCAAGGGGUAUUUUCAUACUUUUCACAAUGGUUUUUUAGUUAUUACAAUGCAAGUUGAGGGACAAUUUAAUAGUUAAUCAAAUAUAAAAAAAAUAAUAAAUUAUUAAAAUUCAUAGUAAAAUGAUAAGAAUACAUUUUAAAAAAAUCAUAAAAUCAAAGGGCAUGUUUAUUUUUUUACAAUAGUUUUUUUUAUAAUUAGAAAGUCAGCUCAUGAAUACAUUAUUAUUUAAUUAAAUAAAACUAAAUAUGUGUGUGGGGCACACCAGAGGGUGCAUGAGAGGCGCAUGCACCCUUUAUAUGGCUCAUAUGACGCCUCUCAAGAUCCAAAAAUAUCAUUAUUUCAUAUUAUGUUAUGUUCUCUUUUUAUUGGUAGAGUACGUGUUAUGGAGCGUUUUUCUUUCUUUCUUUUUUCAUUCUUUUUUUUUCUACUGAAAAUUACAACUUGCUUCUUUUUAUUAUUGAUAUUUCAACUUCAGUCUAUAUAUUUUUUAUUUUUUAUUUUUAGUCAUAGUCUUUGCAAGCCACUAGUGUCAAUCCACUAGUAGUAUUAGUUGCAGCUGACAAGAUGUUUAGGAGUAUAAUUGUGGUUAUUUUUUAAAGUAUUUUUCAUUCAGAUAUGCAUUAAAAUAAUAUUUUAUUAUUAUUUUUAAAAAAUAUUUUUGAUAUCAGCGCAUCAAAAUAAUUUGAAAACAUCAAAAAUAUAUUAAUUUAAAACAAAAAAAUAAAAAUAAAAAUUAUAUUUUUAAAAAACAUUUUUUAAAUACAAAAACAAACAAAAAAAAAAUAUUUUACAUCACUUCUAAGAGGUUGUCAAGCUUGAGUUGCAUAUGGCCAUUAGUAGCCAUAUAUGCAACUCAAGCUUCCAAUCAAUUUCAACAUGGAUGGCUUGUCUUGUAAAACAAAAAUAUUUGUAUAUAAAUAAUGAAUUUCUACAAAAUAUGUGUUUGUUAUUGUUACGUAGGGUUUUUUAAAAAAAAAAAUUUCAAUUAAAAUACAUUAAAAUAAUUAUAUUUUUAGUAUUAGGAUAUCAAAAUUAUUCAAAAUACUUAAACUGUAUCAAUUUAAUACUUUUUAAAGUAUAAAAUAAUUUAAAUAACACUUUAAAAAAUAUAAUAUAAUACAAAAACUAGUGUGUAUUGAAGUCUAUAUUGACAUCUAUCUCAGUAUUUCCUUUAAUUAGACUAUCUUACACGAAAUAUGAAUUGUAUUUUAAUUAGACUAUUUUAAUAUCAAUUGUAUUUUUUUUUUUCAAAUUAAUUUUUUUUUGUUUCCAAAUUAUUUUGAUACAUUGAUAUUAAAAUAAUAUAUUUUUUAAAAAAAUUUAUUUUAAUAUAUUUUUAAAUAAAAAAAUAUUUUUAAAAAUAAUCAUUAAAACACGUUAAGCCAUCAAAUUAAUUUGGGUUAUCAUGCUUGCUGCUAAAGUACAGGUCUUAUACACCAUAUCAACAAGAAAAACUUUUCAUUUAUAUAUAAUUUUUGCCAUGGCAGCUAAAAAGACUAAAGGCAAACAAAAGAUGGAAAUGAAGUGCAUUGAAAAUCAAGAUGUUAGGCUUGUAACAUUUUCUAAACGGUGAUCUAAGUAUCUACAAAUAGGUAAGUGAGCUUGGUACAUGAAAAUCUGUUUAGAAAUAUGAUUAUAGUUGUUUUUUAAAAUAUUUUUUAUUUAAAAAUAUAUUAAAAUAAUAUUUUUUAUAUAAGCACAUUAAAAUGAUCUAAAAACAUAUUAAUUUAAAAUAAAUAAAUAAAUUUUAAAUUUUUUUAAAAUAUUUUAAAAUGUAAAAACCAACAGGAAAUGUGCUGAAAUUCUGUUUGUUGUUUUUUCACCUCCUGGUAACCCCUUUUCCUUUGCUCAUCCUUCAAUGGAAUAUGUUACUGAUCACUUUCUUGGCGGACAUUCGCCAUUAGCGACGCCGCUCAGCAGCUUGUGGAGGCACGUAGGCAUGUAAGAAUUCAAGAAUUAGACAUCUAGAUUCUGAUACGGAAAAGGGUCAAGAACUAGAGGAAAAGUUGAUAGAGAACGAGAGAAAAGGAUGGUGGGAUGCUUCUAUCGAAGAGCUUAACUUACUAAAGCUUAUUGAGUCGGAGAAUAAAGUUCAAGACUUUACACACGUCCAUGUGCAACAAAGUCAUGGACAGCAAUAAUAGAGCUUCUUCUUCUUCUGCAAGAGUUCCACAAUCAAAUUAAUUAUCCUUCUUAAAAAAAUGUAUAUUCAUCUUUUAUUCUUAUCUUAUUUAUUUAUUUAUCUUUUAUUCUUAUAACCAUUUUCUUUUUAGUUCCAUCAUUAUUUGUUUUUGUGUUUAAAAGCGAUUGAGUGCAUUUGAUUUGAAAAAAAAAAAAACCAAAUUAAUGGAUUUUUAAAGCUUUUUGAUGGUUUUUGUGUACUGAUAUAAAAAAUUAUUUUAAUAUAUUUUAAAACAAAAAAUAUUUUUUAAAAACACGUGACCUUACAAUGCAAGAUGCAUAUUGAAUAUGUGUUUGAGAGUGUAUCUGUGAUUGCUUUUCAAAGUGUUUUUUCACUUAGAAAUACAUCAAAAUAAUAUUAUUUUAUUUUUUUAAAAUACUAAAAAAUAUAUUAAUUUUAAACAAAAAAAUUUUAAAAUUUUUAGAAUCACAAAUUGAGCCAUGUUCCCAUCAAUGUUCCUGUCAAGACAUUUCCACACUGCAUGCCUAAAAAUAGACAGCUCUAGAAUCUAAUUGUUUUUCUUGAAAGACAUAAUGUAAGGAGAGCUGUCCUUUUCUUAAAUGUAUGGUCUCAAAAAAGAGUCUUUUAUAUAGUUGAUUUUCCAGUAUUGUUUGAUUAACAAUAGUGUUUGAUGGCUCUGUGCCUUGCAUGUAGGCCACUGAGAGCUCUUACAAGGUUUUACUUACAAAUUGCUUAACCAGGAAUACGAGCAUGAGAAGACAAGGGAUGCAUGAAACUUUGUUUCGCUUUUUCUGGUUAAGUUGAUGAUAGCCAAAUAACUACAUGGCCCAUGGAAUUUUAAUGUGAAUGUACGGAUUAAUUUGUGUAUAUUUUAACUAAUCGUUUUAAAAUUUAAUAGAUUUCUUAAAUUUUCUCAACUUACUCACAAUUUUUUAUGAGGUUAUACUGCACUACCGAUAAACUUAGUGCAUUUACUUAACAUCUUCCAUUAAAAAUAGAAUCAGCAAUUCAUUUCCUCCUUGUUUGCUCAAUUCAAAGACAAUGUCAACCUCCUUACAAUCUAUCAUGAGAAUUUGGGAGAUGAUAUGCAAAGCACUCUUUGCUGUGAUGGUGACCUGACUUGCAAGUUGAAUCUUUAGCAGGGCCUGCAUGCAAUCGUUCAAAUCUUUACAUCCUGUGUGCCAAACAAGUUGGAAAAGCACAAGACGAGCGUCUUGCAUUCUAGCUUUUGGUUCACCUUCUGAAAUAAAAGGAUGGUCCCAAAAGACAAAAAGAAAAAAGAAAAAAGAAAAAAGAAAAAACUGAAAGGACAUCCAGUCUAGAGAGAUAAUUUUGAAUUUUCUUUGUUUCCUUACGGGUUGGUGAAAGAUAAAAAUGUUUUUAUGAUUUUCCCACCAAAAUUAUUAAACAUUACAUAAUUUCAAUCUACACUUUUACUUUUGGAUAUAGGCCAUUGACCUUGCUUGAGUUAAUUUUCCGAAUUCAAAGUCGAAAACAUUAAAAAAAAACACCCAGAAGAUAUUAAAAAUAAGAAUAGAGGGAGUAAAAUUAAUUAUUUAUGUGUGACAACAUAUAAUUAGAAAAUUUCGUCAACAGAAUAAACGGAUAUGUGACUUUUAUAAAUUUAAUCAUUUAUGUGUGACAACAAGUAAUAUAUAUAUAUAUAUAUAUAUAUAUAUAUAUAUAUAGGCUGAUGGAAAACAAACCCUUAAUUGUAUUAGGGUCUUGAACUCAUAGAAAUAUAUAGGCUGUGUAAAUACAGUCCAUUUGUUCCAUAGGCUUACUGCACCCCAGCUUCCAAGCCUAAGCUUUCCUAGAUAGGACGCAGCCUAUGUCCCAUCCAAAGCCCAAGCUAGCUAGGAGGGUGGUUUCAGCCCAUGUAAUCUUUUUUUUUUUUUUUUUAUAAAAAUUUUUUUUAAAAAAAUAAAAAUAAUUAUUUUAAUAUAUUUUAAAAUAAAAUAUAUUAUAAAAAAUAAUUUCUACCACACUUCCAAAAUAUACUUUAUAUUUAUAUUAUAUAUAUAUAUAUAUAUAUAUAUAUAUAUGAAAAAAUAAAGGGCAGUUUUAUAUUUUUUUUCAAAGAAUAAAAUUGAGAAUUUAGUAUGUUUUUAAAACUUUUUAAAGUCUUUUAUAGCCCUAAAUUAUUUUAAAGCUAUGAAUUUAGUAUUUAUACCUACACUUUUAUUUUGCUCAUCAAACCUUUUUUAUAAUAUUUGUUUAUCUUGUUGGAUCAUGUUUUUCAAAAAUUUUGAAGGUUUUUUAGUUUAAAAUUAAUUUUUUCAAUUAUUUUGAUAUGCUGAUAAUAUUUUUAAAAAAUAAUAUUUUUUUAUAUUUAAAGUUUUAAAUUUCUUUUUAUUGCCAUCUCUUUGAACAUAAUUUGGGUACUUUACAGGUCAAAUUGGAAGCAGAAAUAGAUAAAAACGCCUCACAAAUCACUUCAAAUCCACGACCAUUUAACACACAAAUACAUGGUUACAUAUCACAUAUAGAUUAUGCAUAAAACUAAGCGGUGCUGCGGAAUGGAGCUAUAGCUGGUGGAGCUGGAAUGUCACCGGACCCUUCAAGCAUCAAGAUCACAUUCUUGAUACAAGGACGUGAAGCUGGAUCAUGUUGAACGCAUAGCAGUCCAAUCUUCACCAUUAUUUCCAGUGACUCGAAUUCUAUAUCUUCAUCCUUCACAAGCUUAUCCAACUGUCCAGCUGCAAAGCAUUGAUAUGCCCAACUGGGAAGAUUCAUUUCAUCUGGUGUUGAGACGUCUACUUUUAUACUGCUUCUGCAACAGAUGAUCUCCAGAAGUACAACUCCGAAGCUGUAGAUAUCAGCUUUUACCGACAUCAAGGCGUUAUUCUGCCAUUCAGGUGCCAUGUGCCCUCGACUCUGUGAGAGUGCCAUCGAGCUUCUUAUUUCGUCUGGAUAUAAUAGCUUUGAUAAUCCGAAAUCGGAGAUUUUGGCCAUCCAAGAAUCAUCCAUGAGAAUGUUUUGAGGGGUUAUAUUGCAAUGGAUGAUGCAGGCUUGACACUCUUCAUGUAGAUAGAGUAUUCCUCGAGCUAUAUCCAGAGCAAUCCUCACUCUUUCUUUCCAAAUGGGGCGCCUCUCAGACUGGAAUAAAAGAUCGGCAAGGGUGCCGUUUCUCAAGUACUCGUAGACGAGAACCCUCCGAGAGCCCUCCACACAAAAACCAAGCAACCGAACCAAGUUUCUGUGAUAAGUUUGUCCAAUCACAGUGAUUUCUGCUCGAAACUUUUUUUCCCCUUCAUCUAAAACUUUCUCAAGUCUCUUAACAGCAACAGUUCUGUCACCCUCAGGUAUUGUCCCUCUGUAAACUGCACCAAUAGAACCCCUGCCCAGCUCUUCCAUGAAACCACCUGUAGCUUUCUCAAGCUCACUAUAAGAAAAUGACCGCAGAGUGAACUCUCCAGCCAAGCUUAUGAUUCCUGACAGCUUUUCGUAAAGAUAAGCUCGAUCCCUGUACACGCAGAAAGUAGAGAUUGCAAUGACAAAACACAAGAAAGUAACAGAGCCGAAUGCUAUAGCAAGAAACACAAGUAAACUUUUCUUGCUUUCUAUGAUGAUUGUCGGGCUCAUUGGAGGUGCAGCAGAAGAUGCUGCUUUCACUUUGAAGAAGGCUAUAGAUGAUAUGUUUGUAUCUUUUAAAACAUAUCGAAUUGGUGCAGUAUACUUUUCACACCUCUCAUUCAUAUAUAGAGCAACAUCACAAAGACAAUCUUCCAGGCAACACAAACCACAAUUUUCCUUCUUCACAUGUAGGACAGAAUAAGGAUAUCGCUCGAACAAUAUAUUCUCUACGGCUUUGACAUCGUACAUUUUCCCUUCUUUGGUGCCUCUGCAAAAACUUUCACGGACAUUCUUGUAGCAUCCACUGAAUUUCUCACUGGGGUCAUUGAAAGCAAAUCCAGGAUAACAGGAACAGUCAAAAUUAGUGCCCAUGCCAGAGCAAUAACUGUUGAAAUCACAGAAGCCACGAACAUUGCAUUGAUUAUUCAACGCAGACCACUCAAUAUGCACACUCCGGCUAGUUUUGUUCUCUAAGCAGUGUGAAUACAACCUGAAAAUCCCAUCAGCAUCAAGCGUCGCACGAAAGAUUGUUGUUUUGUUGUUACAGGGAUAAGAACUUCUUGCCAACAAGACUGGUUUUUUAGAGACCGUAUCCAUGGACAGAAAUCCCUGGUGAUUCAGAUAGAGAGACUCAACCCCUUUUUGUCUUGAUAAGUAUGACUGGCCCAGUAAGUAUCAACAUCUUGACGAGCGCUGUUUGUAGGGUAGGCGACAAGGUUUCCAUCUCCCUGCAUCCUGAGGAGAAACCUUCCACUGGAGUGAUUUGAGCUCGACACACUUGAAACCAAUCUAUCAGAAUAAGUAAGAUUCUGACCUACUAAUAUGGUGUCAGUUGGGUGAUAAAAGCUUUGCCAAAUAACAGAAGAAUCAUUGUAAAGCACGAAAUUACCAGAAUCGAGCAUUGAAGCUGAAGCUGCGACUUCUGAAAAAUAAGCAAUAAGAUUUUCGUUGCCCUGCUCAGUCCGAAGAAGGAGCUUACCCUCUUCUGAUAAGUGAAUGGUAGCAUUGAUGGAGACUGGUUCAUCAUCUCGAUUUGCAGUCCAGACGACCGUGUUAUUAGGUUGACCCAUCAUCCAUAUUCCAACAGCAAAUCCAUUUCCCUGUGAAUAGAAGCCAAACGCAAAAUGGCCUGAAGGGGAGAGCCAUGAAUGCAUGUUAGAGAUGGGAGAUAACUGAGAACCUAAGUGUAUUUCACCAAAUUGGUUCGGUUGAGUUCUUGCUUCCACAAAGAGUAUCGAUAACAUUAGAAGCAGAAGCCCUGAUACCAAGGCCAUGGGGACAGGAGUGUGGUGUAAAGAGCCAAACAGAUACAGAAAAGCUAGCUAUUGUUGAGACUAUACUGGCUAAAUGUUAAUGUGAUGAAAAUUCUAGCAAACUUCAAAACUAAAACCGUGUGAAAUGAAAGAUUUGUUCACUAUUGGUACGUCUGCAACUUUUCUUAUAGUGGCCUAGUGUGGUCCACAAAAGUCUACCAAACGUGUUAGACCAGUUGGCUGAGAGAAGUCAUCAUCUUCCUUGAAUUGCAACCCUCCAAGUCAAGAUAAUAAAGCUUGAAUUGCAGUUUUAUCAUAGUAAAUAUUAUCCCAAUAAAUUUCUCAAGAAAUUUCAUCAGUUGUACUAGUAUUUAUAUAGUAAAAUUCUUAUAUGCCAUCAAUAUUUUGUAUAGGACUGAGAUUUAUAGUUUACGUUAAUUUUAUUUCUUAACAUUAUUAAUAGGUCAUUUAGCAUUUGGAAAUAUAUAAUGUUUUUAUAAAAUUUCAGCAAUACAUCGCUUUCUUUUACUUAUCGUAAUUUUCAAUUUCCUUUAUAGUUUUUUAUUUUUCAAAAUGAAUAUAUUGCUUUACUUUUUUUUUUUUAACUUAUAGUUUAUAGAUUCCUUAGCAUUACACACCUUCAUCUCUUAAUCUCUUAAACCAAGUUAAGAAAUUCAUUUGAUUUCCAAGCUUAGUUUCUCCUCGUAGGAAAAAAGAAAGAAAUAACAAGUAACAUAUUGAUCAUCCAUCAAUCCAUCAACAACAACAUGCUGUAAUGUUUCUUAGGAGUGGCCAUUAAUAAUUAUUCACGCCAGUUGACAUAUUGAAUUUGGAGAAGACAGAAACAUGUUCUUUACACCACUGCUUCCAUAACUUCUCCUCCCAUGAAAAACAACGAAUGAUUUUUUUGUUAGAACUACUACAACAGUAGGAUACAGAACUUUAUUAGUUUUCCUGCCCCCAAACUUAUGCCGAAGCUGAAGUUGGAUGUGGAGGAACAGAUACAUCGGUAAUUCCUUCUAACAUCAACACAACAGACUUUUGGUAGCUAUAUUUUUUCCUUAAAAAAUAGACAGUCCCGUAACCUUCGUGGUUGCUUGUAACAAGAAUUUUUUUUUCACAAAAUAUAAAGAGAGUUGUCCCUUUCUGAGAUGUAUGGUCUAAAAAAAAAAUCUUCUUAAUAGAAUAUUAAUUUUUUCUUUAUUCUUUGCAAGAAUAUUAAAUUCUUUAUUAUUCUUUACAAUUUUAUUAUAUAUAUAUAUAUAAAAAAACAUUCAUAAAACAAGUACAAACACACACAUACACUUUUACUAUAUUUUUUUCUGUUUUUCUUACUCACUACAAAUUAUACAAAUUAAAAAAAAAUACAAAGCAAAAUUUACAUUAAACACUUUAAAAAUUACAAAACAAACCCCAAAAAAUCCUUAAUAGUGUUGGGAAAUAUUCUGGAUCUGCAUAAACAAUGAUGGCGCGUUAAAAGUCGAACGCGUUCUAAACUUAUUCUUUAUACAUCGGAAAUGAUACAGAAUUUUAUUAGUUUUCCUGCCCACAAACUUAUGCUGAAGCUGAAGUUGGAUGUGGAGGAACAGAUACAUCGGUAAUUCCUUCUAACAUCAACACAACAGACUUCAUAGAAGGACGGAUACCUGGUUCAUCUUGAAUGCACCACAUGCCCACCAUAACCAUUUUCUCCAAAUUCUGCAAGUCUACAUCUUCGCCAAGAUCAAGCUUGUCCAAUUCUCUUGCAACCAUAAGCUCGUAUGCCCAAUUAGAAAGCAGAACUUCCUCUGGUCUUGAUACAUUAGUCUCUAUAUUUCUCCUGCAGAAAACAAUUUCCAAGAGCAUAACUCCGUAACUGUAAACAUCUGCCUUCACUGAUAUUGGAGUGUUCUUGUGCCAUUCAGGAGCCAAGUAACCUCGUGUCCCUCUGACUAUUGUGAAGGUUCUUGUUUGAUCAGGCACUAGCAAUUUUGCUAGCCCAAAAUCAGAGAUCUUAGCAUUCCAAAAAUCAUCCAUUAGAAUGUUUUGAGGCUUUAUAUCGCAAUGGAUGAUUGGUGCCUCACACUCUUCAUGUAGAUAUAGGAUCCCUCUAGCAAUAUCCAAAGCAAUCUUCACCCUGUGACUCCAAUUUGGAAUUCUUUCAGUUCGGAAGAGAAGAUCUGCAAGGGAACCGUUGCUCAUGUAUUCAUAAACUAGUAGCCUCUGGGAGUCCUCAGUACAGUAACCAAGUAGCCGAACCAAGUUUUUAUGAUGAGUUUUUCCAAUUGAACGCAUCUCUGUGAGGAACUCUCUUUCACCUUCACUGACCAACUUCUCUAGCCUCUUCACUGCAAUUACUGUUUUACCUUUGUAUAAUGUCCCUUUGUAAACUGCUCCAAAAGAUCCUUUUCCCAACUCUUCCCUGAAACCCUUGGUUGCAUUUUUAAGCUCACGAUAUGAAAAUGCUCUCAGGGAGAGCUCAUGGGCCAAGCCAAGAUUUCCGCUUCCCAACCGCAUUCUGGCCUUAACAACUCUUGACUUAGAGAUGAAAAAAGCAGAAACUGCAAUGGCAAUUGAAGAGCAUGUGAUGAAUGCUGCGCUCAUAACAAAAAUGAGAGUCACUGUCUUCUUGCUUGUCUUAUGGACCACUGGAGGCUUCAUUGCAGAUCCGACGCUCUUCAAACCCACCUUGAAGAAAACCUUUGAUGAGAUCAUCAUCUUCAUAUCUCCUAGCAUAUUUCACUGGGAACUUCACUUUCUUGCAGUCCCCAUUCGUACAGCGCACCAGCACAGUUACAGUCCUGCAAACAGGACUUUCUGCAAUCUUCUUCUGAUGACGUGAGUUUACAAAAUAAGGAAUGUCAUAACAAGUCAUUUUCUCCAUAUCAAUAAUGUUAUACGAGGAUGUUUCCUCUGCAACUUUGCACAACUCUUCAGUGUAGUUCCUCUCACACCCAUUAUAUCUCUGGUGGGAUGGACAGGAACAGUGCCAGGAAGACAGCGGCAGUCAGGUUGAUCAUCGUUCAUGGUGCAGUAGCUGUUGAGACCGCAGAAAGUCUUCACUUCGCAUUGAUUUUCUGGUGCAUGAUCUUUAAGAGAUGUAGUGUAGGCACCAUUGCUGUCGAAGUUAUGAGAAUACAAUUUAAAAAUUCCAUUGUUCUCCAAUGUUGCACGGUAGAUAAUGGAGCUGCUUUCCGAUUGUGAAUCAGGGUCGUAAAGCACAUAUCUCAUGACUAUGCCCGAGGUUUUGUUAAGGAUUAGCAGUUCUCCUGAAGUAUAAUUUAAAUAUAGAUGGGCACCAGAGGACCCAGAAGUUUCUGUGCUCCAAUAAGCAUCUGCUGAAGUAUCUGGAGUGUCUACGGGAUACAAAACUAGAUCCCCAUCACUUUGCAUUUUAAGACGAAACCUUCCUGUUGAAAAAUCGGUUGUAGAUGCACUGGAAAGCAGUUCACCCCCUGCAUAUAGAUUCUGGCCUCCUAAUAUUGUAUCGGUAGGAAAGUUGAAACUCUCCCAAAUGACAUCAGAAUGUUCAUUGUAGAGCACUAGAUUUCCAGAAUCAAGCAUGCGAGCGUUUGAAGCUGACUUCUCUAUCUUAGCAAUGAGUUUCUCUUCACCGGCCUCAUUGUUGGCAUAGUAAGUUCUUAAAAGAAGCUUACCGUUUACGGUUAACUCCAACGUUGCAUUUGAGGGCACAGGAGGGUCAUCUCGGUAUGCUGUCCAGGUGAUUAUAUCAGCUGGCUUACCCACCAUCCAAAUUCCCACUAUAAAGCCACUGCCCUGUGGGUAGAACCCAAAGGCAAAUGUGCCAGAAGGGGAGCGCCAUGAAGUUGGUUGGACGUUGGUGGAGAUUGAUGAACCUAAACUUAUCAAGUUUGAGUGGCUCUGCUGGGAAGUUACAGGUUUGUAAAUACAAAUUACUAACAAAACGAAAGCUGCAUAAGCGAAAGCCAUUAGAUGAAGUAUGGAAGAUGGAUGAUAUUGUUGUCCUUGUAACUUCUCACCAGUCUCGAAUGACUAUAAAGUAAAACAAGGAAAAGGCUCCACCUUUGCUUCUUCUUAGGGGCACCGACUAUUAAUCUAAGAUGAUCGCUGAAACUUGGCCCCAGCACUGGUAGACUUGAUUUUUGUAUAAAUACUAGACGCGCACUCAGUCUUCCUAUCGGGACAUUUCCACGCUGUAUGCCAGUAAAACUAGAAAGACUUUAAUUAUCACAGAAAGAUUUUCAACACAGAAAGGACAAGGAUAAUUGUAUUAAGCAAGACUGAUUGAAAGAGGUUGAGAAAAUUCUCUGUUCCCUAUUUCCUCCAUUAAUGGUAUAACAGAAAAUUGACUUGUAUUGAAGCAAACAACACGGCUUAUUGACAAAAUCAAAUACCUGUCCCUUUCUGAGAUUGUAUUAAGCAAGACUGAUUGAAAGAGGUUGAGAAAAUUCUCUGUUCCCUAUUUCCUCCAUUAAUGGUAUAACAGAAAAUUGACUUGUAUUGAAGCAAACAACACGGCUUACUGACAAAAUCAAAUACCUGUCCCUUUCUGAGAUAUAUGGUCUCAAAAAAAAGUCUUUUAUAUAGUUGAUUUUCCAGUAUUGUUUGAUUAACAAUGGUGUUUGAUGACUCUGUGCCUUGCAUGUAGGCCCGUGCCAAUAACUUAAGCCACACAGUUUUCUUUCUCUUCUGCCUCGUGAGAGAUGUAAUUUGAGAACAUACAUAUCAGCAGGAUAGUUCCUGCUACGAGGAAGCCACUGAGAGCUCUUACAAGGUUUUACUUACAAAUUGCUUAACCAGUAACAGGAGCAUGGGAAGACAAGGGAUGCAUGAAACUUUGUUUCCCUUCUUCUGGUUAUGUUGAAGAUAGCCAAAUAACUACUUGGCCAAAGGAAUUUUAACAGACAUCCCAAGUUUAAUAGAUUUUUUAAUUUUAACAAAAGCUUUUUGACUAAUCAAACUAUGUUUUCUCCAUGGUUGAGCAAAAAUCAAAAGCUACACAAUACCAAACCACCUCUUACUAUUUUUAUCACCUGUGCUCUUGUUUGUUCUUCUGCGCAAAUGUGAAAUAGUAUAUCAUAAGCAGUUUAAACGACAAAUCAGAAACGCUUUGCAUAUACAGAAAAAUGCUGCUCCAACCAUGUGUUCGAACAGCAAUUUUAUGAUAUCUUUCUGUUUAGACAACAAGAUGAGCCUCUUUCAGGCAACAAAAAUAAACACCAGACAUAGUUUCACUGUGCAUGGAAACCUCCAACCAAGAAAAACUCCUAUUUCAACCCAGUAAAAUUCUCUAUAUCAAGACACGGACAAUUUCCCAAGCCAUCCCUCUUGCCUCUCUUUGUUAAAGUUACAGGGUCACUCUUCCAAAUGACAUUAAUUUUUCAGGACACUAUUAAUAUAAUUCCAUGCAAAUCCAAACUAAAACACUAAGAACCCUGGACAAUGAGCAAUGUAGCAAGAGAUAUUUGGCGGACACACUUCAUUAAGUUUUCAGUUUCAUCUUCUUAAUUUCAAUAACAACGUAAAAUAACUCAUUACAGCAUCGCUAACACAAAAUCUAUCUUUAACUGGCACAUAUUCUAAACCACUGACAGCCAACCCACCAUUAAGAUCUAGUCAGCUCAUCUCUGUAACUACAUCCCAAAAACAAAGUCCAAUACAGUUGUUAAUAACAGCAAUAAAGAAUUCUUCCAAAUGCCGUCAUAACAUAUUUUUGAAAAGCUUAUCAGGAAAAAAAUGUAGUAUAUAUACAAUGACUUGAUACACAAGACUCAAGAGUAUACACAAUGAACUGCUGCUUCACAAGCUUUAGCACUCCAAAGGCACUGAACUUAAUAGUUACAAUACAAAAAAAUACGUCUAGAGAAAUGCCAUUUUUAAUUAGAGAAUUACCAGGGAAAUGUAACACCAAGCAAGCAUGGUGAAACGAGAAUAACAGCUAUGAUAUAAAUUAACUAAGUAUAGUAAAUGAAAUGAUAAGCAUAACCAAAAGAUUAAAGAGAAUAUAACAUGAAAUAAAACUUGAAUAUUAUAAAAACAUAAAGAAAGAAAGCAAGAACACGAUAUUGAUUUGAAAACCAAGAUGUAUAAAUGAAUGAAAAAUGCCUCCUUUUAUAGGCCUAAAACUUAGAACUAUUGAUGGUGGCUAAUUAAUAUGGUAGUUUAACUAAUUGAAUGGCUAAUUAUUGACUUUGUUGGUUGGACAAAAAAAAAUUUAUAACAUUAUAGGUACUUGUCUCAUAUUUCCAAAAAAUAAAUAAUAAUAACUGGCUCAUUUGGAAUUCUAGAACACAAGAUAUAGGCUGAAGAUCGAAUAGUAUUCGGGUUGCAAAACAUAUUCAAACUUCUUUUUUGUUGCUCCGAUUUGAGCUAAAUGAUGGAAAUACUGAGUCUUGGACUCUUCAUGAAUGUUUUAAGCCUACAUCUUAUCUUUCCAUUAAGAUAAACCAUAUUUGAAUUCGAUGUUGAUAGCUCAAGUUAUAACCCAAAAAUAGAAUAGUGUUCCAGUUUAAAUAGAACCGGCCAAACUAGGCUUUAUUCUCUAAUUCCAGCCCUCUUUUUGUCUUUUCAUAUAAACCCAAACAAUAAACACACAUUAAUCAGUCCUGCAUUAAAACCAAACACUUAUCAUAAAUUAAAGAUAUUUUAUAUUAUUAGAGUUGUUAUUAUAAAGCGUGCUUAAGUUAGAGAGUUUAAUAAUACUUUAAGUGCAAUAGAAUAAUAUAAAAUCUUAAUAAAAGUUCACUUUUAAGCACUUAUCACUCAACAUUAAAAAGGAUUCGGUUGGAGUAUUCAUCAGCUUAAGUUUGUUGCAUAUGUUAUGGGUAUGCUCUCAUGGAUUUACCAGGCCUUUGUAGUUGUCUAAGGUCAUUUUGGUGGGGAUAUACUCCUUGGGGACAUGAGUAUGCAAGACCUGUCUAAAUAAAAGAGACCCCCUUAUCUAAUGAGAGAUCAUGUUUAGAGUGAUUGUUUCUUAGAAAAAUCUCGUGUCGAUGAGAGAGACCUCUUGAAGGGCUAAUGGAUCGCUCAAAUGGAGAGCUCUCCAUUAAAAGCCAUCAACUAUUCUUCUGGACCUAGCUUUUAACAUAAGCUCAAGAAUAGGGUUUUUGAGUGUUUGGGUAUUGGAUGGUCACACAUUUACGUCGAUAUUCUAUUCUUAGGAACUGAUAGAGUAAAGGGUCGAUGGUAGAAGUCGUAGUUCCUAAAAAACAAAAUCCUUUAAAUGGGGUUUUAGGACCCUCUGAUGAUUAAAUUAGUGACUUUAUGAUAAGAGAUUAUAAUAAAUGAGCAUUAAAUUUUAAAAACAAAAGUGUUUGUUCUUAUUUUGUGUGUGAUAAAUGCCUUGAGAAUAUAGCCUAAUAGAAUAAAUAUUCUGAACCCUUUACCUAAAUGAUUCAAAAAUAUUUAUAGCCAUAGUACCUUGAACCUUCUUGUUUUUGCUGAAGGGGUUGAAAGUCUUUUCCUAUUGAAUAUACGAGUGAGGAAUAAAUCUUUUACAUCAAUAUUAAUGGUGAUAAAGAAGUGUUUUUACAUUAUAUUAUUGUUAAUAGUAAUACCACGUGCGUACAAAAGACUUUCAUACUUUGUUUUGUACACAACAUUAAUGUUAAUGAGAAUAACCUUUACAUAGGACUUUUAUACACAUAGGAUGUAGGGAGAUGAUUAUCUUAGGCUUUAAACAUUUUAUGUUGAGAGUUGUAGGGAUAGUCUUAUAACCAAACAAGAGGCUAAAAGUAUUAUCAAUUAUAUGUUUGGACAUGAAAUGAUUCUAGACCCAAGGGUAUUGGGUUUGGCAUCUUGCCAGACCUAUAUGUGCUUGGGCCUAGCGCGUAACUUAGCUCAAGGGAGUUGGGUCUGGUAUCUUAUCAAAUCCACAUGUGCUUAGGUUUGGUGCAUAGUUAAGCCUAAAGAAGUUUGGCAUGGCUUCUUGCCAGACCCAUAUGCGUUUAAGCUCAGCGUUUGGCUAAGCCUAAAGGAGUUGGGUCUGGCGUCUUGCCAGACUUACAUGUGUUUGGACCUGGUGUGUAAAUGACCCCAAGAAAGUUGAUUUUGACAUCCUGAUAGACCCACAUGCGUUUGGGCUCAUCGUAUGGUUAAGCCCAAGGGCGUUUGGUUUAGUGUCUUAUCAAGCCCAUAUGUGUUUUGGUUCAACGUGUGGCUCAGCCUAAGGGCGUUGGAUCUAAGAUUUUGUUAAGUCAUACAUGCUUGGGUCUAGCACGUGGCUAAGCCUAAUGGUGUGAGGUCUGGCGUCUCGUUAGUCCCCUAUGCAUUCGGGCCGAACAAUGAAGUUGGGUUUGGAAAUGAACUAGAUUAUCAUCUUAUAGGCUUGGCUUUUUAUCAAUCUUUAUGCAUGAUGGGUCAUCAUCUUUCUUUAGGUCCUUCUAACUAUAAUAAACCAUUUAUGGGUUAUUCCCCCAAAUCUCCCCUUUUUUCUUUUCAAAUUAAAAAAUAAAAAAUAAAAAUAAUGAUAGCAAAGGAACUGGUGUUAUAGAGGAAUCAAGACGACAAUUUUAUAGGGGAUGAGAAACUAAUUGUACUCCAUUAUGCCCAAAAUUAGAGAGACAAUGCAGAUUCAAGGUCAAAUUAAAUAAUUAUUAGACAAACCUGCAUAAAAAUUAAGCCUAAGGACAUAAUUAAAUUUUAAUAGGCCAAUUUGAUUUAAUCAUGGGCUAAAUUAAAGGUUCAAUUAUAUUAAAGAAUUAAUUUGGGGCGCAAUUGAAAGAUUUAAUUAGGUGCAAGUACUUAAUUAUACUUUAAAUGUGUCAAAUGAAUUUUAUUAGGGAAUUAAUUGGUGAAAGAUUAAGUUUGAGAGCCUAAUUUGGGCUUAAUUGAGAUGAUUGGAAUUUUAGGAGACCAAAUUUAUUUUUUACUAGGUCAAUUAGUUUAAAUCAGAGGUAAAAUCACAAGAAAAUCAAAGUUUUGGGGUCAAUUAGGGAUUAAAUGAAGAAAUUCACAACUAAGGAUCAAUAUGCAAAAAGGGUCGUACUAUGGAGACCCAAUUGAUUGACAUCAAGGGUGAAAUUGAAAAGAAUUGAAAGUUUAAUGGUCAAUUGAGGAUCAAGUUGCAUAAAUCCGAGACCAAGGACUAUAAUGAAAAUGACACGUAAAUCUGGGGCUGGAAUUGAAGUUCAAUAAAGGAAAAAUUGCACAAAAUGAAAAGUUUAAAACCAAUCAAGGGUGUAAUUGAGAAAAAUUAGCAAUCAAAGACUAAAUCAAGGGCCGAAACGUUUUUCUAAUGAAGACAAGAGUGUCCUCUUCCACCACCUAAAUAAGGGUGGAUUUCAUGGCAUGAGCAUCAAGAAAAUAGAAGCCAAAGUUUGAAAAAAAUCAGCCCUCUACCUCUGUUUUUCCAGCCUAUAUCUUCUCCUUCGCCAGCCUCACUUUCCCCCUCUUUUUCUCCACCUCUAGUGACACCACCACCUCCGGCCACCAUGCAAGAUCUUCCCUGCAACACUAAGAAUGCUUCCAGCCUCUUUUCUCCCCGGUCAGGCAAGCCAUUCACUUCUUUUCCUCCUCCAAAACUCCCCCCGGCUAGCCAUUGCAUGCAAAAUUUGUAUGCAGUCAACCCACGUGGUUGGGUCUAACCCAUUAAAAUAGAAGAAAACAAAGAGGAGGCCUAAUAUGUUCGGCCGCAAGGCGGCCUAACCCAACCCGGCUGGGUCUAGCCCGGAUGGGUGAGCCUAGCCCAUAUAAUAAUAUUACAAUACUAUAAAAAAACAAAAACAUUCCAAAAAAAUUUCCAUGGGUCCUUUCAAAAAAUUUAUGAUUUUCUCGCAUGUUUUUCUACCAACUUUGUUCAAUAUUGGCUCGUAGACUUACAUAGUAAGAUACGAACCGGGCACAAAAUACCUCAUUUCCUCCAAAAUUACCUGAAAAACAAAAAUAUGAAAAAAAUAUUUAUUUAAAAAACAUAAAGAAAAAUAUUUUGUUUUCAUGCAUACGACCAAAUUCUAAAGGUUUUCCAAUCAUAUUUUCAUACAAAACAAAAUUUGUAUCUUUCUCAUGUUUUAAAAAUGUAAAAAUGAGUAUCGUAACCAAUAUAUGAUUAUCCAUUAGGGUUUGACCAAAACAUCAAAAAUCAUUCACAAAUCAUUUUGUUCACUUUAUAUUUAAAGUAUCAGGAUUUAGCUGUAGGCUUUAAUAUUUCGGGUGUAAAACUACACUGUAGAUUAUACUUUCAAAUAUUAAAUAUACAAAAAAAUAAAUGUGAUGUUAAAAUAAGACUCUAGAAUGGUUAGGAUUUGUCCAAUAAGGUAGAGACUUUCUCACGAAGGGAGAUCUGUCUCAAACCUUAGAAAAACACCAACGAAUUGAAACAUUAUCUAGAAAAAAAUCAAAUAAAAAUAUAGUUUACAUUAGCUAGUGUGCACUAGGGGUGAUAUAUCUUCUCAUCGCAUAACUAGUCCCUUACCUAGACUCUCGCAAACUAUAAAGUUCUUAAUAAUUAUAAUAUUAAGUAGCGACUCUUAAAUUAUAUAGUCAUAAUUUUAUGGUUAUACCCAAAAACCAUCUUUCAAUAUCACAUCUCAGGAGUCAGACCCACCGUCCAGAACAACGUACUAGCUAUAGCUCUUUUGAGCAAAUGAAUUUGGUAAAAUAUAUUGAUCAGUGAAUUUGGAAACUAGCUAUAGCUCUUUCAUGGAGGGGUGUUUGGGGUUCCAGGAACCUGCUUUUCACCAAAUUUCUAUUUGUUUAAUUUUUUUUUCUGUUUUGACGAGCUAUAUAAAAAUUAAUUUUUAAAAAAUAAUAAAAUAUUAUUUUAAUAUAUUUUUAAAUAAAAAAUAAUUAAAAAAAUAAUAAUUACUACAUUCUCAAGUACCUAUAAAUUCAUGACAAGGAAGGAUCCACGUACUGUCGUGGAAAGCAAGAUUCAAUGGCCACAAAUCAGUCCCAGAAAGUAGAUGUGAACUUGUAAAAAUAAAUGCACCUGUCCUGAAGCUGACAACAUGUAUUAUGCCCAAAAUUAAAAAAAACUGUUCCUUUUUCAGAUGGUCUCAAUAAAGGCUUCAUUUUCCAGUUAGAUAACUAUGUGCAUUGCAUGUAGGCUUCAUUUUCCUUUCGGUUUAGACAACAAGAUGAGCCUCUUCCAGGCAACAAAAACAAACACAAACACCAGACACAUUUUCACGGUGCAUGGAAACCUCCAACCAAGAAAAUGUUCUAUUUCUCGCCAGUAUAUCAAGACGCAUAGACAAUUUCCCAAGCCAUCUCAUCUUGCCUCUUUUAAUUUGUACAAGUUACUGCGUCAUCCUUCCUAAUAACAAAUACCAAAAAAUUAAAAAAAAUAUAUUUUUAAAUAACAAAUAUUUUUAAAAAUAAUAGGUACCACAGCCUUAAAUAGCCUGUCAAUUCAUGAAAAUUAUUUCACAUACUGUCGUGGAAAGCAAGAUUCAAUGGCCACAAGUCAGUCCCAGAAAGUAUUGGAAAAUUAAAUGCACCUGUCUGAAGCUGACAACACGUCUUAUGCACAAAAUUAAAAACCUCAGAUGGUCCCAAUAAAGGCUUAAUUUUUCAAUGGCUGACAUUGUGUCAAUAGCUGAUCGCAUAAAAUAAAAAUUCAGAAGUGGUAGAAUUUUCUACAUCCAUUAAAAAAAAAAGCCUUCAAAGAAAAAAAAAAAAAAAGAGGUCGACCAUGUUAGCCUCUUAAUUAAGUUAAUCUCUUAAUUAUCACAAGCAUUGUCUCAAUUCCAUAUAAAAAAAAAAUAGAUUUAAAAAAUUGUGUUGAGUUAAAAUUAAAAUGCGAUAAAUUUCUACAAGUAAAACAAGUUUCAAUUAAAAAAAAAGAUUAUUUUAGUUUCUACAAAAUAAAAUAAAAAAAAAAUAAAAAACAAUUAUGAAUUGAACCCAAUACAAAACCAAAAGCUAUUUCACUAAUGCAAUAUUUUUUUUCUCUGAUUAGACAAAAUGUGAAAUCUACACAAUACCAAACACUAUUAAUGUUAAUAACAGCUGCUCCUGUUUGUUCUUCAGCGCAAAUGUGAAAUAAUAUAACAUAAACGACAAAUCAGAACUACAACAGGUUGCAUAAACAGAAAAUGUAACUCCUGCCAUGUGUUUAAACAUCAAUUUCAUGAUACCUUUCGGUUUAGACAACAAGAUGAGCCUCUUCCAGUCAACAAAAACAAACACAGACACAUUUUCACGGUGCAUGGAAACCUCCCAUCAAGAUUGUCAAAAUCACAUUUUUAAUACGGCACGGAAAAUAUAAAAUAAAAUCGGAUCGUAAAAUUAUAAAAUUAUAAAAAAAAAAAAUUAUACAUAAUUCAAACACCUUAAAUUACAUGUUUCAAAUAAAAAUUCAUACAUCAAACAUAUUUUAAGUGACCUGCGUGAACUAAAAAAUUUAUCUGUGUAAUUCUAUUAUCUUCCUCUUCAAAAUGUUUGGUUUGGUCAUCAUGAAGAUGCUUUAAUGUGCCUAUAGGCAUCCCAAAUCAGCACAUUGAUCCAGCAGCUUUAACAAGGAAAAAAACCCAAUAAUCAAGCGAGACGAUCCAAUUUGUUAGAUGAUGGUUGAAUUAACCAUUAGAUUUUCUUUGGAAAUAUAUUGGUUACUGGUCUUAAUAUAUUAUAACAUAAGAUCGAAAGGGAACGAGAAAACCAUAUCAACAGGACAAUCAUAAGAAACUUCCAUUGAAUUAACUACCCAGGACAGGGAACAUUUUUGUCACCUAACAAUCUUUAGUUCUCGACCAACUCUCACAUUUUCACCGGAGUUCUUUGACGAAGCCUUGUGACAAGAGGAUGAGAUUUGUCUACAGAAAGAAACUCAUGUUUCUUUCCUUUUAAAAUUACCCAACUGGAUCCUGGUUGUUUCACAAGUCCUCCCUAUUUCAUCUUCACUCUUAUUCUAGAAACAUCAGUCAUCUACCAGCAGAUGCAUAUAUAAUAGAGUUUAAUAUAAUUCUUUUCCACCCAGAUGGAAAUUGGAGAGAUGGAAAGAGAGGUAGAUUGUACAAAAGUGGAAUUUGGAAAUUGGUAAGUUACGAAGAGAUAGAAAUUGAAGAGAUGGAAAUAUGGAAUAUUGAAUGGUAACUUACUUAAAUGUUGCAGAGAUGAUUUGUUUUGAAUUUGGAAAUUGAAAGUUUGGAUUGGAAAACUGGAACCAGAAGGACAUUGAGAAGAGAGGCGCCAGGAGACGCUAGGUUUUUUACUUUUUGGGGCUGCUAUUAGCUUAUUGUAGUGCAAACUGCAGUAUAUAUGUAUUUCUUUUAAACACGUAAAACAAGGUUCAAAAACGCGAUUUUAAAUAAUUUCAUUUGAUUUCAAUGUUUUUAUACGAUUCUGCUACGAUUUUAUCAUUUUUCGAGUUUACAAGCCGAUUUAACACGAUAAUAUACACUAACUCGUAAAAUCGUAUGAUUUUACGAGUAAAAAACAAGAUUUUAAUAACAUUGCCUUCAACCAAGAAAAUGUUAUAUUUCUCGCCAGUAUAUCAAGACGCAUAAACAAUUUCCCAAGCCAUCUCCUCCUGCCUCUUUUAAUUUGUACAAGUUACUGCGUCAUCCUUCCGAAUAACAAAUACCAAAAAAUAAUUUUUAAAAAUUAAAAAAAAUUAUUUUAAUAUAUUUUUAAAUAAAAUUACUUUUAAAAAUAAUAGCUACCACUCAAUUCAUGAAAGGAAAUCUCCACGUAAUGUUGUGGAAAGCAAGAUUCAAUGGCCACAAGUCAGUCCCAGAAAGUAGAUGUGAACUUGGAAAAUUAAAUGCACCUGUCUGAAGCUGGCAACACGUCUUAUGCACAAAAUUUAAAACCUCAGAUGGUCCCAAUAAAGGUUUAAUUCUUCAAUGGCUACCGUUGUGUCAGUACCUGAGCGCAUAAAAAAAAGUCAGAAGUGAUAGAAUUUCUGCGUCCAUUAAAAAAAAAAAAAAAAGGCCUUCAAAGGAAAAAAAAAAAAAAAGUCGACCAUGUUAGCCUCUUAACUAAGUUAGUCUCUUAAUUAUCACAAACAUUUUCUCAACUCCAUUAAAAAAUAAAAUUAAAAGAUUGUGUUUAGUUAAAACUACAAUGUGAUAAAUUUUUACAAGUAAAAUAAAUGAAAUACAAGUUCCUAUUAAAAAAAAAAGGAUUAUUUUAGUUUCUAAAAAAAAAAACAAUUAUGUAUUGAAGCCAAUACAAAACCAAAAGCUAUUUCACUAAUGCAAUUUUUUUUCUCUUAUUAGACAAAAUGUGAAAGCUACAUAAUACCAAACACUAUUAAUAUUAGGCCCCAUUUAUUUAUUGGAAAGUAGUUUUUUUUAAGUGAAUUUCGAGAAAGUAAAUUCUGGAAAAAUGAAUUUUUUUUCGAUGUUUGGUAGUGUAAUGGAAAAUAAAUUGGAAAACACUUUCCAGUCUUUGGUUAUAUCAUGAGAAAUGAGUUGAAAAAUAACUUAUUAAUGUUUUAUUUUUCUCAAGUUUAUUAAAAUAAUGAGAAACAAAUUUUAUAAAUUAAAAAAUUAAAUGAUAAUGAAAUUGAAAAAAAAUAUAAUUUCAUAAAUUAUCUCAAAUAAAAUAAAUAAUCAUCAAAAUAAUAGAGAUCAAAUAUAAAAAAUAUAAAAAAUAAAAGAUGAAGAAAUUAAAAUAAUAAUAAUUAACAUUUCAUAAAUUAUUUCAAAUAAAAUAAGUAACAAUCAAAAGAAUGAGGAUCAAAUUUGAUAAAUAAAAAAUUUCAAUAAAAAAAUAAUAAGAAAAAAGCAAAUAACAAUUAUAAAAAUGAGGACCAAAGUUAAUAUAAAAAUUAAAUUUUAAGAGAUGAAAUUAAAAAAUAAAUAUUCAAGACAAAAUAUAUAUAGCAAUUAAAAGUUUGAGGAUCGAAUUUGAUAUAAUCAGCAAAUAAUAUAACAUUUCUAAAUUUUUCACAACUUCCGGAAAGUGUUUUCCGUCCAAAUUUUUCAGGAAAACACUUUCCUGAAAACCAAAUCAAAUUUUUCUUUGACUGAAAAGUGUUUUCCGUUGACCAACUUUUCUAAUAACAAAUAAAAACAAGAAAGUUUGGGAAAGUGGUUUCCGGAAACCACUUUCUAGGAAACAAUUAGACUAUGUUUAUUUCACGGAAAGUGCUUUUUGAAUUUUCCUGUGUUUGUUUGCCAUUAGAAAAGUUGAUCAAUGGAAAACAUUUUCUGGAAGUUGUGAAAAAUUUAAAAAUGUCAUUAUUUGCUGAUUAUAUCAAAUUUUGAUCUUCAAACUUAUUUUUUAUUACAUUAUCAAACAUCAAAAAAUAAUUCAUUUUUCCGGAAUUCACUUUAAAAACAAAAAAAUACUUUCCAGCAAACAAAAUGGAAAUGUCAAUACACAAAAUACUUCUAGACAAAUGCCAUUUUAAUUAGAGCAUUACCAAGGAAAUGUAACACCAAGCAAGCACAGUGUGCCAACAGAAAUGGUGAAACAAGGAAAAAAACGAAAAAAAUAAACUCAGACAGGCCACUUCAAUAAGUUGAACUGCAUUCCACGGCCAUUUAAAUCUUCAACCUAUAAAUAUUCCAGGGCCAUUGCUAUGAUCUUGUAGCAGAUGGCACAGAGAGAUCGCUCUUCCCUUGUAAAAUGAUGAAUAUAACUUUGAUCUGGGAUGAUACUGAAGCAAAAGCACAGGGGCUAUCUGUGGUAAAAAAAAAUUGACAUAUAAGAUUGGCAUAGCAGACAUGAGAGUAGAACAUUGGAGAGUGUUAAACCUAUUAUUGACCAUGAUACUUCCCCACCCCUUUUCUUCUCAACAUCUCAGGAGGCAGACCCACCAUCCACAGCAUGUGCAACACUUGCUAACUAUAGCUCUUUUGAGCAAAUGAAUUUGGUAAAAUAUAUUGAUCAGUGAAUUUGGAAGCAAGGGUAGAACUUCAUGGAGGGGUGUUUGGGGUUACAGGGCACCUGCUUUUCACCAAAUUUUUAUUUGUUUAAUUUUUUUAUAUAUUUAAAUUAUUUUGAUGUGUUCAUGUAAAAAAUAAUUUUUAAAAAAUAAUAAAAUAUUAUUUUAAUAUAUUUUUAAAUAAAAAAUAAUUUUUAAAAAAAUUGUUAUUGUAUUUUUAAACACUCCAAAAAUUUAUGACAAGAAAGUAUCCACGUACUGUCGUGGAAAGCAAGAUUCUCAAUGGCCACAAAUCAGUCCUAGAAAGUAGGCGUGAACUAGUAAAAAUGAAUGCACCUGUCCUGAAGCUGACAACAUGUCUUAUGCACAAAAUUAAAAAACUGUUCCUUUCUCAGAUGGUCUAUGUGCAUUGCAUGUAGGCUUCAUUUUCCUUUCGGUCUUGCCUCUUUUAAUUUGUACAAGUUACUGAGUCAUCCUUCCGAAUGACAAAUAACAAAAAAUAAUUUUUAAAAAUUAAAAAAAUUUUAUUUUAAUAUAUUUUUAAAUAAAAAAUAUUUUUAAAAAUAAUACCUACCACAACUUUAAAUAGCCUCUCAAUUCAUGAAAAGGAAGUCUCCACAUACUGUUGUGGAAAGCAAGAUUCAAUGGCCACAAGUCAGUCCCAGAAAGUAGAUGUGAACUUGGAAAAUUAAAUGCACCUGUCUGAAGCUGGCAACACGUCUUAUGCACAAAAUUUAAAACCUCAGAUGGUCCCAAUAAAGGCUUAAUUUUCCCGUGGUUGAUGUUGAGCGCAUAAAACAAGGAAUCAAAAAUCAUAGAAUUUCUACACCCAUUAAAAAAAAGGGAAAGGAGAUCAACCAUGUUAGCCUUUUAAUUAAGUUAGCCUCUUAAUUAUCACAAACAUUGUCUCAACUUCAUUUAAAAAAACAUAGAUAAAAAGAAUGUGCUUAGUUAAAAUUAUAAUGCGAUAAAUUUUUACAAGUAAAAUAAAUAAAUAAAAAAGUUCCUAUUAAAAAAAAGAGAUUAUUUUAGUUUCUACAAAAUAAUAAAAAAAAAAAUACAAUUAUGUAUUGAACCCAAUACAAAACCAAAAGCUAUUUCACUAAUGCAAUAUUUUUUUUCUCUGAUUAGACAAAAUGUGAAAGCUACACAAUACCAAACACUAUUGAUGUUAAUAACAACUGCUCCUGUUUGUUCUUCAGCGCAAAUGUGAAAUAAUAUAACAUAAACGACAAAUCAGAACUACAGGUUGCAUAAACAGAAAAAUGUAACUCCUAUCAUGUGUUUAAACAUCAAUUUCAUGAUACCUUUCGGUUUAGACAACAAGAUGAGCCUCUUCCAGGCAACAAAAACAAACACAAACACCAGACACAUUUUCACGGUGCAUGUAAACCUCCAACCAAGAAAAUGUUCUAUUUCUCGCCAGUAUAUCAAAAACACAGACAAUUUCCCAAGCCAUCUCCUCUUGCCUCUUUUAAUUUGUACAAGUUACUGCGUCAUCCUUCCGAAUGACAUUAAAUUUUCAGGACAAUAUUAAUAUAAUUCCUAGCAAAUCCAAACUAAAACACUAAGAACCCUGGACAAUGAGCAAUGUAUCAGGAGAUAAUCUGCCGACACACUUCAUCAAGUUUUCAGUUUCAUCUUCUUUAUGUCAAUAACAACUUAAAAUAACUCAUUACAGCAUCACUAACACAGUUUAUCAUUAACCGGCACAAAUUCUGAACCACCGACAGCCAACCCACCAUUAAGAUCUAGUCAGGUCAUCUCUGUAACUACAUCCCAAAAACAAAGUCCAAUACAGUUGUUAAUACAGCUAUAAAGAAUUCUUCCAAAUGCCGUCAUAACAUAUUUUUGAAAAGCUUUUCAGGAAAAAAAAUGACUUGAUACAUAAGAGUAUACACAAUGAACUGCUGCUCAACAAGCUUUAGCACUCCAAAGGCACUGAAACUUGUUAGUUACAAUACACAAAAUACUUCUAGACAAAUGCCAUUUUUAAUUAGAGCAUUACCAAGGAAAUGUAACACCAAGCAAGCACAGUGUGCCAACAGAAAUGGUGAAACAAGAAAAAAACGAAAAAAAUAAACUCAGACAGGCCACUUCAAUUAGUUGAACUGCAUUCCAAAGCCAUUUAAAUCUUCAACCUAUAAAUUUCCAGGACCAUUGCUAUGAUCUUGUAGCAGAUGGCACAGAGAGAUGCUCUUCCCUUGUAAAAUGAUGAAUAUAACUUUGAUCUGGGAUGAUAGUGAAGCAAAAGCAAGGGGCUAUCUGUGGUAAAAAAUUUAUGACAUAUAAGAUUGGCAUAGCAGACAUAAGAGUAGAACAUUGGAGAGUGUUAAACCUAUUAUUGACCAUGAUACUUCCCCACCCCUUUUCUUCUCAAGAACUUAUGAUGAUAGAAUUCAUCAAAGGACAGACGUUGAACUGCAACAAGAGAGAUACAAAAAAAUGAAUGGUUCCACAAAUGAAUCAGGAGGGAAGAAAGAAAGAUAUGUUUUGUUGGGGUCAGGCCAUGUGCUAAACCUGGAUUUGCAGAAAGAAGUCUUGAGCAUAUAUCAACACAGUCGGAUGCAACCCUGAAAGGAUGUGUUGAGAGAAAGGAAGACAUGAACUUGACUUGAUGUUCUGCAGCAACUGAGGUCAAGAGAACUACUUUUAUUAGAGACUGAGCGAUCACAAUUCAAGGAUUAUAAACUUACGGAAACGGCACUACCUGGAAAUUAUUCCUGCCACGAAAAGGUGGGUAACCAUUAAGAAGCUCAAAAAGAAUUACACCAACACUCCACAUGUCAACCUAUAUAAUGAAGCACUGAUAUUCAUUAAAUUCUAUUCUGAAGCAAAGAAAGCAAUGCACCAAAGGAAAACAUUAGCAAAAUCAUUACCUUAUAAUCAUAUCUUUGAAAUUGAAGAACUUCUGGAGCCAUGUAAAAUGGAGAUCCGCAUACUGUCUCCACAUAGUUAUCAGGAAGCACCCUUCUAUUUAAAGAUGAGAAAGAAGAAAGUAAAAUUAAUACAUUGCCUGACAUGUCUUCAACAAAAUUUUGGCAUUUUUUCUUAAUUAUGGGGAAAACAAUUAACAACAUAGUUUCAUGGUGGUCUCCCUGAAACUUUCCAGGAAACCAUCUCAUUACCUUUCUUCUACCAAAAAGUUACCUCGAUAAACCAAAAUCAGCUAUUUUGAGCACCACAUCGCUCUCCUUGCCAGAAAGGAGAAUGUUCUACAACAAAUUGACCAAUGUAAGCCAGUUUCAAGGCAACUCAAUCUUCAGCCAACAAUUUUGAACUCCACCAUAGGUAAAAGAAUUGCAUGUACAACACCUCAUACCUCAGGUUUCAAGUCUCUAUGAAUAAUAUGAUGGCUCUGCAGAAUUUUCAAACCAUCCCCUGAACCAUAUAAAUCAUCGAGAUUACAAUUAUGUAAACAGAGAUGUGAUACAAGCAACUCAUAUGUUGUACUGUGAAACAGAUAUCAAAUGACCGCUACCCAUCUGUUGCGUAAAUCUUUUAGCAAUCUGCUCUUGAACUCUCCCAUGUUGUCGAAGAUAAGAAGCUAGAUUUCCUCCAGAACAAAACUCUAGGACCAGGAACAUGCAACAUUCAUCCUGAGAUUGCAGAUAUUCCGAUUUGCAGAAAUGAAAUAUUAUGGAAACAGAAAGCAUAUAAAUCACAGCUACAGAGGGUAGAAACAGAUCAAGUUAAACUCGAAAUGAAAUUCUCCUUUACAUAUGUCAAGCUUUUAGUUACAUGUAUCCUUCUACAUCAUUCCACUUUAUCUAGAUCAAUAUCCUCAGUGAUUCAGUCAUUUAAGAAUUUCAAGGAUUCAUGUUAAUGGAAUUAAUAAUUAGAGUAACUAGCAUUUAUCUACAAUUCUUCAAGAGAUGACAGCUUGGAUAGAGAGCAGGAAAUGAGUUGCAGAUAUUGCUAAGUAGAAAACACCUAGGUCAGAGGCCUUCAACAUUGCAUUUGCCAACUGUGGAAAUCAAUCUAAAAAAUCAGUUAGGAUCUUUGAGAAAUCUUAGUAUAUAUGGCUUAGGAAGGAGAAUCUGAUAUUAACUAUCCAGAUUCUCUAGAUUAUUGCUUUCUAGUUUAGUGUAGGAUGCUUUCCUCUCUAGUAUUUAUUUCUUGUUUUGAGGGUCAGUAGGUUAGCUUCUCUUCUCUAUUUAUUGUACAAAAUACUGCUGGUAAUAUUAAGAAAAGAGAAAGACUUCUCUCAAAAUUCUUCAUAGUAUCAGAGCCUAUUCCUGAACCCUAAUCUGCUUCUCUAAGGCAUGGCAGCAGCAGGACAAAGCUCUCUCUCUGAGGUGACCUCACAGCCAGGAACAGCCUCACCUGUUAGCCUUUUAGGAGGCACUGAAUGCACAUCACACCAAAUCACAUGACACAAACUCAAUAGAUAUAAUUAUCUUUAAUGGUCAUCAUCAGUCAUGAUGUUUAUUUGUGGAAAGGGCAGAGAUGACUACCUCACAGGGGAUGUCGUCAUACCAAAAAAGAAUGAUCCCAUGUUUCGAACAUGGAAGACUGAAAAUCAUAUGGUAAUGUCAUGGCUAAUCAAUUCAAUGACCAAUGAAAUUGGAGAAAAUUUUCUCCUAUAUGGAACAACAAAGGAAAUCUGGGAAGCAACAAGAGAAACCUAUUCAAGUUCUGAAAAUACAUCAGAACUAUUUGAGAUUGAGGCAGUGUUACAUGAUCUACACUAAGGAGAUCUUUCUAUUACUCAAUACUUCAACACUCUCUGCCGUCAUUGGCAGCACCUAGAUAUGUUUGAAAUUCACAGCUGGAAUUGCCCUAAAGACACAGUCCUAUAUAGAAGAAUUGUAAAAGCAGAAACGAACUUUCAAAUUUCUUCUUGGGCUCAACAAGAAUCUUAAUGAAGUCAGAGGAAGAAUAAUAGGAACCAAACCUCUUCCAAAUCUCAGAGAAGCAUUCUCUAAGGUUAGGCGUGAAGAAAGUAGAAAGAAAGUAAUGAUGAGACCUCACAACUCAGCUUUAAUAAUGGAAGGAUCUGCCCUUGUUGCUCAAGGCUAUUCAACACAGCAACUAUGAUAAUCGACAGAGGAAAGGAAGACCUUGUUGUGAUCACUGCAACAAACCAGGACAUGUCAAGGAAAACUGCUGGAAGAUUCAUGGCAAACCUACUCACUAGAAACCAUAAAAAUCAAUAAAUGACAGACAGAUGUGCCAACAAUGUUACCUCGGAUAACAACCAAGAUAAGAACACCAUUCUGCUAGCAGAAACAAGUCCUUUCAGCAAGGAACAACUUGUGAUCUUACAGAAACUCUUCAUUCAGAAUUCACUACCUCAACCAUGUCAACCUCUGGUUCUGGAUCUGGACUAUUAGCACAAAAAGAUAAAUUUUCAACAGCCCUUACUGUUAGCAAGAAACACUCAAGCCCUUGGAUCAUCGACUCCGAAGCAUCAGACCAUAUGACAGGAGAUGCCACUCUUCUUAAUGAAUACAAUCAAUGCACUAAUAAUUCUACAGUCCGUAUAGCUGAUGGGUCUUCCUCCCAAGUUAAGGGAAUAGGCUUGAGCAGACUCUCAAGGGACAUGAUCCUAAACUCUAUUCUCCAUGUUCCUAACGUAGAAUGCAACCUACUCUCAAUUAGAAAAUUGACUUGUGACCUGAAUUGUGUUGCUAAAUUCUCUCCUCAUUUGUGUAUAUUUCAGGAUCUAGAUACGGGGAAGAAGAUUGGCAGUGCUAAGAUGUGUUCUGGGCUCUAUUUCCUCAAAAGUGAGAUUCCUCUAAGAAGGCAAACUCAAAACAAUAGCUAUGUAUCAUCCAAGGGUCAGUCAGCUUUAAAUUUUCAUGUCAAUAAAGAUAGUGAGGUUUUGUUAUGGCACUAUCGUCUUGGUCAUCCAAACUUCACGCACCUUGAAAGGCUGUUUCCAUCCUUCUUUUCCAAUAAAAGCUCACAAUCCUUAAAUGUGAAAUAUGUCAACUCUCUAAACAUGUUCGCAUAGCUAUCCCACCAUUUCAUAUAAACCAUCACAUCCAUUUGCAAUGAUUCAUAGUGAUGUAUGGACCCUCAAAGUGCACAAUAUAACUGGAACUCGUGGUUUGUCUCCUUUGUUGAUGAUCACACUAGAUUGACUUGGCUAUUCCUUAUGAAAGAAAAAAUCUGAAGUCAGCAGAUUUUCCAAAACUUCCAUUCCAUGAUACAAACCCAAUUCCAGACUAAAAUCCAAAUCCAAAAACUGAUAAUGCCAAAGAAUAUUUCAAUUCUAGCCUUAAUACUUUUGUCUAAAUCAAGCAUUAUCCAUAUAAGCUCUUGUGCUAACACCCACAACAAAAUGGAGUGGCUGAAAGGAAGAAUAGACAUCUGUUGGAAGUUGCUAGAUCCCUUAUGCUCUCUACUCAUGUGCCAAAACAAUUCUGGGGAGAAGCUGUACUCACAGCAACCUAUCUCAUCAACAGAAUGCCUUCCAGAGUUCUAAACUUCAAAACUCCAGCCAAGUCCUUCUACAAGCCUUUCCACACACCAAACUACUCUUUCCUUAGACCCUAAAGUAUUUGGCUGCUCAGUGUUUGUCCAUAUACACCAUAGAGAAAAAUUAGACCCUACCUCUCUCAAGUGUAUUUUUAUAGGAUACUGUCCACACCAAAAGGGUUACAAAUGUUAUUCCCUGUUCACAAAAAGGUCUAUACUUCUAUGGAUGUCACAUUUUUUGAACAUCAAGCAUACCAUCCCAAGUCUGAUCUUCAGGGGGCAACCAUGAGAGAAUAUCAGAAUUGGAAUAUACAAUCUGAUCAUGUAAUUAACUCAGGAGACAACCAAUAGAGUCUUGUCCAAAGUCAUUCCACAUGAACUCUCCUACUUUGAGUCCUUACACUACACCUCAGCCUCAAUCCAAUCAGUCCCAGCACCACUAGCCUCAGUCCAAUCUCCUAACCAAUUCAUCCUACACCAAAACAGAUCACAAAUCAUGAGCUUCUUACCUAUUCUAGAAGAAAAAAACUUGGAAAGGAGAUAGACACACAAUACCUCUUGCACAUGACCAGAUUCAGAACCAAGUCCAGAUUUGCCCCAAUAUACUGGCAUGGAAACUUCUGACUAUGAGAAUACUGCCUCUGUUAUUGAUGAUUCAAAUAUUCCAAUUGCUUUGAAAAGGUGUUAGAUCAUGCACAAGUCAUCCCAUCAGCAAAUUUGUUUCAUAUGAAAGUUAUCACCAACCUAUCAUGCAUUUGUUUCAGCCAUUGACAGUGUACAGAUUCCUAAUCUAUUGAAGAAGCUCUCAAAGAUUCAGGGUGGAGAAAGGUAGUGAGUGAUGAAAUCAGUGCCUUAAACAAGAAUAGAACUUGGGAAAUUUCUGAACUUCCACCUGGAAAGAAACCAGUUGGGUGUAAAUGGUUAUUUACUAUCAAACAUAAGGCUGAUGGAGUAUUGAAAGGUUAAAAGCUCGUCUGGUUGCAAAAGAAUUUACUCAUCUAUGGAAUAGAUUAUCAAGAAACAUUUGCUCCAAUGCCAAACUUAAUACAAUCAGAGUACUUUUGUCCCUAGCAGCUAACCAAGACUAGCCACUACAUCAACUAGACAUAAAAAUGCUUUCCUUAAUGGAGACUUGGAAGAAGAAGUGUACAUGGAGAUUCUCUAGGACUAGAAACAUCCUCCAACCUCAACAGAGUAUACAGACUAAAAAAUCACUAUAUGGACUCAAGCAAUCACCUCGGGCAUGGUUUGACAGAUUUACAAAGACAGUACAAUAUGGAUAUUCCCAUGCCAAGCAGACCACACACUGUUUGUAAAAACCUCUCCAGAAAAGAAAAUAGCAAUCCUAAUAGUAUAUGUGGAUGAUAUCAUCUUAACUAGGGAUUAUGAGAAAAACUUGUGAGAUUGAAGAAACUUUUAGCCAAGGAAUUUGAGAUCAAAGACCUUGGGUAUCUCAAAUACUUCCUUGGCAUGAAAGUGGCACGAUCAAGGAAAGGUAUAUAUGUUUAUCAACACAAAUAUGUCUUGGACCUACUAAAAGAAACAGGAAUGCUUGGAUGCAAACAUGCAGACACUCCAAUGGAUUCGACAAAGAAGAUGAGAGCAGAAAAUGGUAGUAUACCAGUGGAUAUGGGGAGAUAUCAAAGACUUGUGGGUCGACUCAUCUAUCUCUCACGUACCAGACCUGAUAUUGGCUUUUCUGUCAGUUUUGUAAGUCAAUUCAUGAACAACCCAACAAAAGAUCAUAUGGAAGCCGUUAAUAGAAUCUUGAGGUACCUGAAAAUGACUCUUGGUAGAGGCCUUCUAUACAAGAAAUGUGACAACAUAAAUAUUGAAAUCUACACAGAUCCAGACUAUGCAAGAGACAUUAUAGAUAGGAGAUCUACUUCUAGAUAUUGCUUCUAUGUUUGGGGAAAUCUAGUAACUUGAAGAAGCAAGAAACAACAUGUGGUAUCUCAGUGUAGAAUUUGAGCUUAGAGCUCUAGCUCUUAGUAUUUGUGAAGGGAUGUGGAUACAAAGAUUACUUAAGGAACUUGGCAUGGAAUCAUUGACACCUAUACAGAUGCAUUGUGAUAAUCAAGCAGCCAUAAGCAUAGCAAAGAAUCCAGUUCAUCAUGACAGGACAAAGCACAUUGAAAUAGAUCAACACUUCAUCACAAAAAAGAUUGAGAAGAACAUUGUUCACCUCAUCUACACUCCAACAAAAUCUCAAAUUGCAGACAUCCUCAUCAAAGCUCUACCAAGGACUAAUUUUGAAGAAUUGAAUCACAAGCUGGGCAUGUAUAACAUAUACAACCCAGCUUAAGGGGGAGUGUGGAAAUCAGUCUCAAAAUCAGUUAGGAUGUUAGAGAAAUCUUAGUAUAUGUGGCUUAGGAAAGAGAAUCUAGUAUUAACUAUCCAGAUUCUCUAGAUUACUGCUUUCUAGUUUAGUGUAGGAUACUUUCCUAUCUAGUAUUUAUUUCUUGUUUUGAGGGUCAGUAGAUUAGCUUCUCUUCUCUAUUUAUUGUACAAAAUACUGCUGGUAAUAUUAAGAAAAGAGAAAGACUUCUCUUAAAAUUCUUCACCAACACAAUCAAAAUGAAUCCAACCACUGUUUCUCAUGAGUAUCUGGUCUUUGAGGGUAUUUAGUGGGAGAAACUAAAUAAAAUCAUGCUCUGUCCUUUUUUUUCUCCUCAAUCAUGGUGAAUGGAGAGCAUAAGUUUUUUGUUUCUGGUAUUCCAUGGUCCUUAGUAUGAUGUCUGAUACAAAGGGUAGAUAAUGAGCUAGUGAAAAAAAUGUUGUUGAGGACAUUUUGCUUCUCUUAUGUGCUUUGCCAAUGAUACCAUUCAUAAUAAUUCUUUAGAAAGACUGGGGCUUGAUGACAUGCUUCCUUUCUUGCAGAUUUUGGAAGAUAUCUAGUAUAAGGUUAAACACAUAGAAGAUGAGAAUUAUGGAUAUUUUAAUCCAGGACUUGAAUUGGUUCUCAAUUAUCCCUCUAUAGCUUAGUGUUUUGCCAGGGGUGGCCCUUGGCAUGUUUAUAGGUCCCCAUGGUGGCAAUCCACAUUUUCCAGCCUUUUAGAAUUUGGUUGAAUCAAAUUCUAAUCUCUCUUACUUUGCUUUAAUAUUUUAAGCAUGAUAGAUGCACUACUACUCCAUAUACUCUUUAGGAGCACCAUGUCUAACAACAAUGCUUCUGUGAACAUCAUGCCUAGAUUCAUCUUCACACUCCACAGUACUCCAUCAACUCAACAGUAUUUUAAGAUUGCAUCCUCAAUCCAAGACAUUAAAUUGCUAAGCCACAAAUCCCAUCUCAAAAUGAAUAAUAAUUGACUUAAAAAAUAAUCCAAGCUAUCUUAAGUAAAACAAACCCUGCUUCUAAUUCAACAUUUGCAACAGGAAGGAACCCUAAAUACCAAAUCAACCAACUUUUCCAUUAUUACCCUAAAUCAACAUAUUUUCAUAAAAGGGUAUGCUAAAAAUCACCUAAAUAGUCAAAACCAAGUAAAAAAAAAAAAA
rnacentral:lncRNA from 1 species